rnacentral:lncRNA from 1 species
GGGGGGGGGGAGGUGGGAAAAAAAAAAAAAGGCAAUGGAGGGCACGACCAAACAAGCUUCUUGCAGGGGAGAUUGAGUUCCAUGUUGAACUUGGAAAACUCUCCUGUCAAUCCAUGUGUUUAUUCUCCUAAAAAAUUCAUUUGCUUAUCCUUCUUUGAGGAAUUUGUUUUUUUUUCUAAUAUUUAAAAUUAAGAAUAAAUAAAAUCCAUUUAGAUACUUCUACAAAAUUAUCUUAUAGAAAAUGGAUCCGUUGGUCCGUCCAAUCCAUAUCUUCUAAAGGCCUAUCCAAGUUUCAACCUAAAUCCCAAUUCGCGAGCAUGUUGGCAUGCAAGAAGCAAAAAAGAUCCAUAGAUGUCAUUUUUCUCUCCAAAAAUUUCUGCAAGAUAUUGAGUUGAUAUGAGGCAUGCUUAAAAAGAUGGCUCAAUUGAGCUCAAUGCUCCUAGAUGAUCUAUAUAGGCUCUAAACAGAUAGAUGAUUUUUGUAGCUUGGUUUGGUUUCAAGACGACUCUUCAUCGUAUUUGAAUUGAUGAAAUUGUAAUGCAAGGGGAUUCUAUUAUAGCUUUGGCAUGAAUUAAUGAUGAAGCAGCUUCUCUUCACCCAACUAUUUAUGAUAUUAAAGCAGUACAAAGCUUCUCCUGUCAUCACAUCAACAAAGAGGCAAACCAGGUGGUUGAUUGCUUGACAAAAAGGAAAACAAAAACACGGAUGAUACAUCUGCUGUUGGCUUCCUUUACUUUGAUUUCUAUCUAUAAACUUUAUUCCAUUUUAUCAAAAAAAUAAAAAUAAAAAGAUGUUCCUUCUAACUAAAGUAAAACAAAAAAAAUCAUCCCAAGCUAAUUGUAACCUUAGUCAUUUUUUCUGGAAAAAAGAAAUAAAAAAUAAUGCAGCCUUGCAAGUCUUAUCUUAUUUUCAUGCUCUAGAUUUCAUGCUACCCAUGUAGUUGAUCAUUAUCUUUUGCAAGGAUCUAGCGUUCAAUCAUAUAGCUUAAUGAUAGAUUAUAGCCAUAUCAUGAGUAUGUCUGGUGCAAUAUAUACUAUUUUAUAUUUAUAUACACCAGAUGCAUGCUGGGAGUCAAUUGUUAUAUUUUCACUACAUGGUGUGAAAAAUCACCUGUCUUGUAUUUGUUGCAGAUAAAACCAAGGUAAAAGUCUAACUUUACUACCCUAGUCACAAUGAAAAUGCCACAAAGUUUGAUGAUGUCACUCCACAAAUAAAGAUUCAAGCUGAUUAUGGAAGUCCUAAUAUAACUAUAAUAUUUGGAACAUACUUACUAAGAAUAUGAGAUUCCCAGGCCCUAUUUUUGCAAUGACAAAUCUUUGUGAUUUCCAUAACCUCAAAGAUACAGCUUUAAUGAAGCAUAUAAUCCAGAUAUACAAAGAUUUUAUACCCUGUGGUGUCAAAAUCAAACCAACUAAAAGUUUUGUUGUGACAUGGGAGCCAUCAAUUGGUUUGACCAUUACUUAGGUCUGGCACUACUUUUACUGAUACUCGUCCAAACUUAUCAUUAUUCUUAAGCUCAUUUGACUAGAAAAAAAAUAUUUUUUCCCCCAUGAGCUCUCUCUUUAUCCCUCUCUCUCAGAGAAGAAGGGAAAGAAACAAUUCAUUUUUUUUAACAAUCAAUUUGCAUCGCAUCCUAACAUUCGAGAAUCAUUGUAUACAUGAUGGCUCAGAGAUGUGAUUCAACAAGAGAUUCCAAGUUUCAAGUCAAACAAGAUAAUUUUUCAUGCAGUCUCAUCCAAGAGUCGGAAGGAAAGGUGUCACUUGAUAAACCGAAGCAGCAUCAUAUGGAAGAACUAGCCAGCCUGAAGAUGUAUUAGCAUAGAGAAGAAACCUAAAGGUCGAGAAAUGGUUAAGUUAAAGUAUUAUGAACAGAUCAAACGAUGAUAUUGUAAUAUGAUUAAAGUUGAUCAAGUAUGAUAAUCAAUCUAACAAAUGAUCUAAAAUCUAGCCGUUAUAGUAAACGUGAAUAGAGUAUUUGGUGCCGGUUGCAGAACUGUCAAAUUUGAAGACUAGAUAUCAACUAUUAUCGCUAGAAUAUAAUAUAAUUAUCUUAUUAUUUGUUGUCUUGUAUAAAUAAUGGAUUGUAAUUUGAAAGAGGAUCUUUUUGUCGAUCAAUGAAAUUACUUUAUUUUUAUGUUAUUUUUAUUUUUUUAUUUUACCUUUAUAUUUCUUAUUGUUAGUUUCUUUUUAAGACUCUUAAGUUAAUACAACCUAUAGUAGAGUACUUCAAUUGUAGCCGUAUCUAUACUUUAUCUUUUCUUCCUCCAAGCAAGUGGUAUGAAAGCGAAAGUCCUCAAAUAUUAAAAUACUUAGACUUGUGCUACUCAUCGUCGUCCUUUCAUUAUCCCUUUUCUUUUUUCCAACUAAUGUGUGCUAGUAGCACAUCUACACAUCUAUUCAAACUCAAGUUAUAAGACUUAUCUUCCUUUUUUAUUAGCAAACAAGCUUUCAAGUAUACCCAUAUUCUGAAAGUGGAAAAAAGAGAGAGAACAUAUUUACAUGAAUUUGAGUUUCUUGACAUGUUAAGGCUUUAAUUGCUUACCAUAUAUGCAAUUUUUUUUUUUCAAUCCACGUUUUUAAAAAAAACUUAGGAUGUGUUUGGUUCGCAAUCGGAAUCAAAAUCAACAUGAAAAUCAAAACGGUAAUAUUCCCCAACAUAUUUGAUUCGUAACCUAAAUAAUUAGAAUAGAAUUUGAAUACAAGGAGAUAGUAGGGAUUGAAUUUUGGGAGAAUUUGAGCAUUCAUAUUUCUUCUAAAAUCAGAAUGAGAAUCAGACUCCCUUCAACCAAAUGGUUAGAAUGAAAGUUACUUAUUUUCACUUUCAUUUCAAAAUUUAACUCUCUCCAACCAAACAUGGCUUUAGUAUGAGUUCUUACAUUCUCCGAUAAAAGCAUGGAAUUUCCUAGCUAGUAACUUGUAAUAGGAUGUCAAAUAACUUUAAAGCAUAUAGCAUAUAUAGUGAUAUGUGAUACUCUCGUGAUAAUUUGGUAUGCCAAGGGAGAGAGCUGGAAUAAUCCAAAUAAAACUUUAGUCAUGCAAGCCAAAGGAUUAAGCUUAGAGUAUGUUAAAGGGAAGGAAUAAAUUACAAGCAAUAGACCAUCAAACUGAAGCUCCUGAAAUUCCAACAUUCAACACCAGUUUCAACUAAAGUAUGCAUGCGCUUGGAUGAGAAAAGGAUUUGAACCUUGGUAUAGAAGAAAAAAAUGUGUUCUUUUUUUUUCUUGAAAAGAAAUCAUUACUAAUUAGCCUUUGGUGUUACCAACUUCUUUAAUUCAUGUCAUAAUCCUCUGCCUAGACCUAAGGUCGGAGGCCGGAGCUAAGCUAUCUUGGCUUGAUUUGUCACUUUUAUAAGUUCAGUUGUGCUAUAAUACUCUAGAAUGAAAUGGUGCUCAUGUGCACCCAUUUGUAAGUCGACACCUCACUUGAUGCAUGGAAUGCUUUUAGCUGGUCUUUCAUUCUCAUUGGAUGUUGAGAUCAAUGGACUCAUCAUACAAACACAGGGAUCACUGCCUCAUAAAUACAUGCAGCCUAAUCAUGAGUCCUACUUGCUUGCUUUGUCCAAGAGUGCCUGCUCCUCAAAGGCAUUGCCUCAUCCUCAUCCUUGGUUGUUUGAGUCAUCAGCAACUCAAUUAUAAAGACAUCAGAUUCGUCCUGCUUUCCUGAGUUGCAUCAUUAUAUUCUUGAGUGAUGCAAUUGGCAAAGGCUACAGAAGCAGGAAAAGAAAAAAUUACAUGAAAGCUAUCAAGGUGUUUCGAAGCAUGACAAUGUAGUAGUUCACACGAGUUUGCCAACACGGCAUACCUACUGCACGGUUGAAAGGAGUAGAUAUAUACUUGAAUCACUUGCUUAGUUUCAAGGGGGUUGCUUCUCUCCUUGAUUAUUAAAGUUUGCUAUGGAACCUUUGUACGUGAUUGUGUUCACAUACAUAAUCACAGGGAGUUACAUUGUUUUGAUGCAUUUUUUUAAUUAUAAUUUUUGUGCCGACCAAUGAGGAUAUUGCUUUUGUAAUAAUCCAAAGGCUACCCACAGGCCACCGAAACAUGCAGCUAAUUCGUUCUUCCACCAUUCCUAGAAGCAUUACAAAAAAAUUCAAAGAGCAUUUGUAGCUAUGGCACAAAAAUAAUUAAGUUAUAUAGAACCCCUGUUCACAUCACCGAUCGGAAUGCCGGCCCUAGUCGAUGAGAAAGAAUUUUUAUAAUACUUUUUUAGGAUAUAUUUGGCUGGAAGGAAUAGGACUAUAGAAUGAAAAUGAGAGUAAGUAACUUCCAUUCCAAUUGUUUGGUUAGAGAGACUCUUAGGGGGCGUUUGGUUCGUAACCGGAAUCAAAAUAAGAAUGGGAAUCGGAAUCGAAAUCGAAUUUGGAAUGAAAAAUUGCAUCCAUAGAGGAGAGUAGGUAUUGAGUUUUAUAUAGAUUGAUCCAUUCCCAUUCUACUCUGGAAUCGGAAUCGGAAUGGGACUCCUCCCAACCAAACGGUUGGAAUGGGAGUCAUCCAUUCCUAUUCCGAUUCCAACCCCCACUCCCUCCCAAUCAAACACUCCCUUACUUCUGUUCCGAUUCUAAAAGAGAAUAGGAAUGCAUGAAUCCCUCAAAAUUCAAUAUCUACUCUUCCCUAUUAUUCAAAUCUAUUUUCGAUCUAAUUCCAAUUCCGAUCAUGAAUUAAAUAUAUUUGGGGAUACCGCCAAUCCGAUUCUCAUUUGAACCUAUUUCGAUUUCGGUUUCGAAUCAAAUACACCUUUGGUAUACUUAGUUCUAACGAUUUGUAAUGGCCUUCGAAAGUAUGUUUGGUUCGCAAUCAGAAUCGGAAUGAAUUUGAAUGAGAACCGAAAUAGCCCUGUCGCUUAACAUAUUUGGUUCAUGACUAAAUUUGGAAUUUGAAUGGAUUUUGAAUAUUAGGAGAGAGAGUAAGAGUUGGAUUUUGAGAGAUUGAGAAAUUUUUCUCUUUGGAACUAAAAUGAAAAAUAAGAUAUUUUUUAAUUAAAUAAUUAAAAUAAAAAUUACUCAUUCUUAUUUCGAUUUCAGAAAUUAUCGUUUCCGAAACAAACAUUCUCCGGAUGUAGACCAUAUGUAAUGUAAUCUGAACUUUGUAAAGCACCUGCAUUAAUUUGACAAGAGCCAACUUUCAACGAUAGUGUGGGCCUAUCCAAUCUCUGGCCACCAAGAGGCCUUCUCCAACAGUGAAUGCCUACAAUUUGUCUUCAUAGACCGGGAUUUGAUUGCAACCAUUAACAUCAUGUGCAGUGAGAGCAAGGUGUGGAAUAAUUAUGUGGAAGGAGCACUGCAUAUGAAUGACACAUGGACAGCAGAUGAAUUAUAUUGGACCGGACUCUUGUAAGUCGGUGUCUCGAAUUAAUUGGCUACCAUUCUUUACAUAGCACAACUUAGGUGCACCAUGGACUGAAUGCAAUACACGACCAAGAAGACGUUUGUAAAAUGACAGAUAGCUGAGUCACUCAUUUGGAAUCGUACGCAGGCUAGUCACCAGCCAUCACUGUGAUGUGAUGUCUGAAUCUGAUUGGAUUUUCCCCCUUCGCAUUUUGAGGGAGUCAAUGGAAGGGGGACUUCAAAGCCCAGCAACAUCUCCCCCACACAGGGGCCAAUGAAUCAGAGCAUUCUGUUUAUUUGAUAAUAACGUCGUUGAAGUGAUCCUUCUUAUUAAAAAUAUAAUUAUUUAAUUAAAAAAUAUAUUUAUAUAAUUUUUAAAUUAAAUUUUUUUGAUUAAGAAUGUAAUCAUCUAAUUAGAAAAAAAUAUAUUUAUAUAAUUUUUAAAUUGAAUCCCUCUAAUUAGGAAUGCAAUCGUCUAAUUAGAGAAAAAUAUAUUUGUAUAAUUCCUAAAUAGAACCCAUGAAAAUUAAUAAAAAUGGUCCUUUUGGUCCUAGAGAAGUAUUCCUUCUUCCUCUGAAUCCUCGUCUUCACCUUCUCUUCUAUUUUUUCUGUUUUUCAACAUAGUAUCAGAGCACUCUGUUCCAUGAAUACGCUCUAUUCCGCCUCAUCUCAAUUCCUAAACUUCUUCAACUGCCGACCGUCCGCACCUCUUCAGAUCUUUUCAAAUCUUCCCCGGAUCCGGCAUGUCCCACACCCUGCCAUCGCCAUCGUUGUUUCCAUCGCUGUUUCCAUCGCUGCUACCGCCGUUGCCGUCGAUGCCACCAAUAUUGCUACUGCCAUCGACGCCACUAUCGUAUCCAUCCGUGAACCACAGGAUUGAGAACGGAAGCCGCUGACGCCCUGCUCAUUUCUUAUUAGGUGCUGGGUCUUGUUCUGGAGCAACAAUGGAACAUCUUUUUUGGAGUUUCUGAAUAUUAUCGAGGUGCCUUUCAUGCAAGCAGAUAUUUGAUAUUUUUUAUUCGUCAUCUGAGUUUAUCUCAGAUCAUUGGUGAGAAAAAUUCAAAUACUUUUUUCUUCCUCAAGAUUGUUCUUGUUUACUUGAUCAUUUAAGUAUUUUGUUUUGACAAUGGGUGAUAAAAAUCCUUUAACCAUGGAGGAUUUAGAAAAGUUAAUGGUUAGGAUGAUGGAAUCUCGUAUUGCGAGUAGUGAGUUUUCAAAGAUCACCCUAAAAACUAACCCGGUCAAAUUGGAUGGGCCGGGUACCUACUUAAGUUGGACGUGACAUGUUCGUCUAAUUUUAGAGUCUCACAAUCUUGAGGAGUUUAUAAGUGGUACUGCAAAAAGGCCAGAAGGAGAUGUGAUAGCUGUUAGACAGUGGAACUCUAAUAAUUCUCGUGUGGUAGCAUGGCUCCUUGCCUCUAUGGUACCAAGUGUUGCUCAUACGGUUGAGGCACUGACGAAUACUUAUGAGUUAUGGCAGGCUGUAGUCACAACUUAUUCCUAUAAAGGUAAUAAUAUGCAUGCCCAUAAGAUCCAACAAGAGCUUCGGGGACUUACUCAAGGUUUCUGAUCUGUAACAGAGUAUGUUGGAGAAUUAAAAAGGUUGUGGAACGAUUUUGAUUUUUAUAGUCCCUUUACCCCUACUCAUCCUGAUGAUGUUGAUGUGUUCCGCAAAUGGAUAGAGCGUCAGUGCCUUGUGGAUUUUUUGGAUGGACUAAACCCAGAGUUUGAGUAUCGACGCUCUUCUAUUCUUAGUACACAGGAAUGGCCAACUCUUGAUGAAGCUAUUUCCUUGGUUCUUAGUGAAAAAACUCGAUUAGCCACUAUGUCUUCUUCUAUGAACACAGCUAUACGAUCUGCACUUGUGGUACAGCCAACUACUCUUGAAAGCUCUUCUCCUAUCAAUUCUACUCAAGAAACUCAGCCUCGACCUCGUGGGGUUAAGAUUUGUGACCACUGUCAUAAGUCGGGCCACAUCAAAGCUUACUGCUAUGAGCUGCAUGGUCGUCCAACUAGAGACCGUGGUCGUGGAGGUGGUCGUUCUGGUAGAGGCCGAGGUCAGUAUAAUCAGGCUCAUUUUUCUUCUAUGGAGGAUUUAUCAGUCGAAGAAAUGCAACUUUUGGAAAAAUUUAGAUCUGGUGUAAAUAUUUCUGAAAGCAGCACUUCCACAGAAGAUUCUUCAAACCAACCAACCAGUUCUCUCUAUCAGGAUAAUUUUACCCAAAUAAGUAGCGAUGAUCAAAUUCAUGCUCUUAACUGUAGUAAUUUUUCUCCAUGGGUAGUUGACUCUGGAGCAUCCAAUCAUAUGACUGGAUCCUUUAGAGAUUUUGUGUCUUAUAUUCCCUAUUCUGGUCGUGAUAAAGUUCGUCUUGCUGAUAGCUCUUUUACCCCUAUUUCUGGAAAAGAAUCUAUUAAAUGCACUUCCGAAUUAUCCUUAUCAUCUGUUCUACAUGUCUCUAGAUUUUCUAUCAAUCUUCUAUCCAUUAGUGCUAUUACGAAUGAUCUUGAUUGUGCCGUAACUUUUUUCAAAGCACAUUGUGUCUUUCAGGAGCCAAGGAUAGGAAGGAAAUUUGGGACUGGCAUAAUGCGUAAUGGGCUCUACUAUUUGGAGGGAGGAGUAUCCGGAGGCUACUCAGAAACCAGUUUGACAGUUUCAUCCUCACAAAAGGAAGAUCUGUUACUCCAACACCGCAGGCUUGGUCAUCUUUCAUUUACUCUCUUAGCUUGUAUGUUUCUAACUAUUUUUGAAUCAUAUAAUAAAGAGAAGCUUGUAUGUGAUGCCUGUGAACUAGCUAAACACACUAGAAGUGCUUAUCCAGGCUCAGGCCUGCGUAGUAAAGCAAUGUUUGAGGUAGUUUAUUCUGAUAUAUGAGGACCCUGUGGGACCACCGCUAUUUCUGGUCAUCGAUAGUUCGUUACUUUUAUUGAUUGUUUUAGUCGUUGUACUUGGGUUUAUCUAUUGAAAAAUAAGAAUGAAGUGUUUCAGUCAUUUAGAGAUUUUCAUAAAAUGAUUGGUACUCAAUAUGGAGUAACUCUUAAGAUUUUUCGAUCUGAUAAUGGGACAGAGUAUCUUAAUAAAGAAUUUGAGGAGUAUACACAUAAUAAUGGUAUUAUACAUCAAACGACUUGUGUUGACACACCGGCUCAAAAUGGAGUUGCUGAAAGAAAGAAUAGACACUUACUUGAAGUGACAAGAUGUUUGAUGUUUUCUAUGAAUGUUCUUAAGUUCUUAUGGGGAGAGGCAGUGUUAACUGCAGCGUAUCUAAUUAACCGAAUGCCACUUCGAACUUUGGACUAUAAGACACCUCUUGAAUGCCUGCAAGGAACUAAUUCUUUCAUAAUUCCCCCCAAGGUAUUUGGCUGUGUUUGUUUUGUUCGGGAUCAUCGACCUUCGGUUGGCAAGCUUGACGCUCGUGCCCUCAAGUGCAUUUUUGUUGGUUAUUCCUCUACUCAAAAAGGAUACAAAUGUUGGUGUCCGAAUGAGCAAAAGUUGUUUAUCAGCAUGGAUGUAAUAUUUCGGGAGUCUGAGCCAUUCUAUAUAUCUUCUGUGUCUUCUUCCUCUCCCGUCACCUCUGAAACUGGUCGAGAGGGGGAGUUCUCUGGAGGGAGUCCUAUUACUGUGGAUGUUGGUACAAAUGGUGGAUAUGAUACUCGGGGAGAGUUUAUUAUAAAUGGUGGAUCUGAUACUCAGGAAGAGUUUAUUUCUAUUAAUGCUAGUUCUGACACUCAAGAAGAAGCAUCUAAAAUUGCAUCUAAGACUCUCUCACAGCCUGCUACACAGCCUGCUACUUCAGUUUCAUCUAAUUCAUCUCCUCUCUCAGAGACUAUUAUGCAUUCUCCAGUCUCUAGAUCUUCCUCUCCUGUCCUGACGGUUUCAUCUUCUACGACGAAUGGUAAUUCUUCUGUACCUCCCAUUCAUUUUACAUUAGAUAAUGAUGAUCUAAUGUUCCUAUUGCUUUACGUAAACAUACUCGUCAUGCUGGUAUUCCUGCNNNNNNNNNNNNNNNNNNNNUCGACUUAAGGAUGGAGUGGGGUACAAACAUGACAUCACUAACUUUGUAUCCUAUGAGUCUCUCUCUCCAUCUUAUCAGAGUUUUAUAGCUUCUUUGUCCUCUGUCUCCAUACCCAAGAACUGGAAGGUUGCUAAGGAAGACCCCAAGUGGAAAGCCGCUAUGCUUGAGGAAAUGCGAGCACUAGAAAAAAAUAAUACAUGGGAACUUGUAUCUUUACCAGCUGAUAAACAAACUAUGAGAUGCAAAUGGAUUUUUACAGUUAAGCAGACACCUGAGGGUACUGUUGAACGGUACAAAGCUCGUUUGGUAGCAAAAGGAUAUACACAGACUUAUGGCAUCGACUAUGAUAAAAUUUUUGCACCUGUUGCAAAAAUGAACUCUGUUAGAACUCUUAUAUCAUGUGCUGCUAACUUUAGAUGGGAUCUAUUCCAGCUCGAUGUAAAGAAUGCUUUUCUUCAUGGAGAACUUCAGGAGGAGGUAUAUAUGGAUAUUCCUCCAGGAUUUGCUACCGCUCAGACAGUGGGCAAAGUAUGCCAGUUACGACGCUCUCUUUAUGGUCUGAAGCAGUCACCUCGUGCUUGGUUCGAUCACUUCCGACGAGCAAUCAUUCAGAUGAGGUAUAAAUAGAGCAAUGCAGAUCACAUACUCUUCUUUCGGUACAACAAGGGUAAGAUUGCUAUUUUGAUUGUCUAUNNNNNNNNNNNNNNNNNNNNNNNNNNNNNNNNNNNNNNNNNNNNNNNNNNNNNNNNNNNNNNNNNNNNNNNNNNNNNNNNNNNNNNNNNNNNNNNNNNNNNNNNNNNNNNNNNNNNNNNNNNNNNNNNNNNNNNNNNNNNNNNNNNNNNNNNNNNNNNNNNNNNNNNNNNNNNNNNNNNNNNNNNNNNNNNNNNNNNNNNNNNNNNNNNNNNNNNNNNNNNNNNNNNNNNNNNNNNNNNNNNNNNNNNNNNNNNNNNNNNNNNNNNNNNNNNNNNNNNNNNNNNNNNNNNNNNNNNNNNNNNNNNNNNNNNNNNNNNNNNNNNNNNNNNNNNNNNNNNNNNNNNNNNNNNNNNNNNNNNNNNNNNNNNNNNNNNNNNNNNNNNNNNNNNNNNNNNNNNNNNNNNNNNNNNNNNNNNNNNNNNNNNNNNNNNNNNNNNNNNNNNNNNNNNNNNNNNNNNNNNNNNNNNNNNNNNNNNNNNNNNNNNNNNNNNNNNNNNNNNNNNNNNNNNNNNNNNNNNNNNNNNNNNNNNNNNNNNNNNNNNNNNNNNNNNNNNNNNNNNNNNNNNNNNNNNNNNNNNNNNNNNNNNNNNNNNNNNNNNNNNNNNNNNNNNNNNNNNNNNNNNNNNNNNNNNNNNNNNNNNNNNNNNNNNNNNNNNNNNNNNNNNNNNNNNNNNNNNNNNNNNNNNNNNNNNNNNNNNNNNNNNNNNNNNNNNNNNNNNNNNNNNNNNNNNNNNNNNNNNNNNNNNNNNNNNNNNNNNNNNNNNNNNNNNNNNNNNNNNNNNNNNNNNNNNNNNNNNNNNNNNNNNNNNNNNNNNNNNNNNNNNNNNNNNNNNNNNNNNNNNNNNNNNNNNNNNNNNNNNNNNNNNNNNNNNNNNNNNNNNNNNNNNNNNNNNNNNNNNNNNNNNNNNNNNNNNNNNNNNNNNNNNNNNNNNNNNNNNNNNNNNNNNNNNNNNNNNNNNNNNNNNNNNNNNNNNNNNNNNNNNNNNNNNNNNNNNNNNNNNNNNNNNNNNNNNNNNNNNNNNNNNNNNNNNNNNNNNNNNNNNNNNNNNNNNNNNNNNNNNNNNNNNNNNNNNNNNNNNNNNNNNNNNNNNNNNNNNNNNNNNNNNNNNNNNNNNNNNNNNNNNNNNNNNNNNNNNNNNNNNNNNNNNNNNNNNNNNNNNNNNNNNNNNNNNNNNNNNNNNNNNNNNNNNNNNNNNNNNNNNNNNNNNNNNNNNNNNNNNNNNNNNNNNNNNNNNNNNNNNNNNNNNNNNNNNNNNNNNNNNNNNNNNNNNNNNNNNNNNNNNNNNNNNNNNNNNNNNNNNNNNNNNNNNNNNNNNNNNNNNNNNNNNNNNNNNNNNNNNNNNNNNNNNNNNNNNNNNNNNNNNNNNNNNNNNNNNNNNNNNNNNNNNNNNNNNNNNNNNNNNNNNNNNNNNNNNNNNNNNNNNNNNNNNNNNNNNNNNNNNNNNNNNNNNNNNNNNNNNNNNNNNNNNNNNNNNNNNNNNNNNNNNNNNNNNNNNNNNNNNNNNNNNNNNNNNNNNNNNNNNNNNNNNNNNNNNNNNNNNNNNNNNNNNNNNNNNNNNNNNNNNNNNNNNNNNNNNNNNNNNNNNNNNNNNNNNNNNNNNNNNNNNNNNNNNNNNNNNNNNNNNNNNNNNNNNNNNNNNNNNNNNNNNNNNNNNNNNNNNNNNNNNNNNNNNNNNNNNNNNNNNNNNNNNNNNNNNNNNNNNNNNNNNNNNNNNNNNNNNNNNNNNNNNNNNNNNNNNNNNNNNNNNNNNNNNNNNNNNNNNNNNNNNNNNNNNNNNNNNNNNNNNNNNNNNNNNNNNNNNNNNNNNNNNNNNNNNNNNNNNNNNNNNNNNNNNNNNNNNNNNNNNNNNNNNNNNNNNNNNNNNNNNNNNNNNNNNNNNNNNNNNNNNNNNNNNNNNNNNNNNNNNNNNNNNNNNNNNNNNNNNNNNNNNNNNNNNNNNNNNNNNNNNNNNNNNNNNNNNNNNNNNNNNNNNNNNNNNNNNNNNNNNNNNNNNNNNNNNNNNNNNNNNNNNNNNNNNNNNNNNNNNNNNNNNNNNNNGAAGGAUUUUGGAUAUCUUUGAUAUUUUCUUGGGAUAGAAGUUGCUCGUUCUUCAAAAUGAAUUUUUCUCUCUCAAAGAAAAUAUAUUCUAGAUCUUCUUACAGAAAUCGGUAUGUUGGGAUGUCGACCUAUUGCUACUCCUAUUGAACAAAAUCAUCGACUAGUAGCCGAUACCGAUGUCCUUAUUGAUCGAGAAUGUUAUCAACGAUUGGUAGGACAUUUGAUUUAUCUAUCUCAUACACGGCCUGAUAUUGCAUUCGCCGUUAGUGUGGUAAGUCAGUUUAUGCAUGAUCCACGUUCAGUUCAUAUGGAUGCUGUGACACGGAUACUUCGUUACCUCAAAAGCUGUCCUGGUCGUGGUUUACUUUAUUCUUAUCAUAGUAACCUACGGGUGGAGUGUUAUACAGAUGCUGAUUGGGCUGGAUCACUUGAUGACCGUCGCUCUACCUCAGAUUACUGUACUUUUGUUGGAGGUAAUCUUGUCACUUGACGAAGCAAGAAACAGAAUGUAGUUGCUCGAUCUACUGCUGAAGCAGUGUAUCGAGCUAUGGCACAUGGCGUGUGUAAAAUUUUAUGGUUGCAGAUCUUGUUAUUGAAUCUAGGUCUUUAUCAGUCAUCGCCCUUUAUGCUAUAUUGUGACAACAAGGCAGCAAUCAAUAUUGCUAAUAAUCCAGUACAGCAUGAUCGGACGAAGCACAUCGAAAUCGAUCGAUAUUUUAUCAAGGAAAAGCUUGAUGCCAGAAUCAUUUGUAUGCCUUAUGUGCGAUCUGCUAGUCAACUAGCAGACAUUUUGACCAAAGAUCUUAGUGUGCCUUCUUUUUCAUUUAUUCGUGACAAGAUGGGUCUUUAUGAUAUCUAUAACCCAUUUUGAGGGGGAGUGUUGAAAUGAGCUGUAGAUCCCUCUGAUUAGGAAUGCAAUCAUCUAAUUAGAGGGAAAUAUGUUUAUAUAAUUUCUAAAUUGAAUCCCUCUGAUUAGGAAUGCAAUCAUCUAAUUAGAGGAAAAUAUAUUUGUAUAAUUCCUAAAUUGAAUCCCUCUAAUUAGGAAUGCAAUCGUCUAAUUAGAGGGAAAAAUAUUUGUAUAAUUCCUAAAUAGAGCCCAUGAAAAUUAAUAAAAAGGACCCUUUUGGUCCUAGAGAAGUAUUCCUUCUUCCUCUGAAUCCUCGUCUUCACCUUCUCUUCUAUUUUUUCUGUUUUUCAACAAGCACCCUCAUUUAUUAAAACCAUGGUAUAGCAUAAGGUCAUGAAUUUGAUAAGUUUAUUGCACUUUAUGUAACAUCGCUACUAUUAUAAUGGGAACUCUCAAUAAUAGAACUCUACCUUUUUUUUUUUUUGACUUCAUUUUUUAUAAUAAUUAUCAAACUACAAGCAGUGUUAUUUGAAAGCUCUUACAGUGCUUGAUAUUUUUUAUAUUAUUUUUUUCCCUUGCAAGGCCAUGUGCACUGAAUGCUCCCAUACUAGUCACUAACUUUCAGUGAACCCAAGACUUUGAUUAGCAACAGUGUUUUAGGGGAAAGAAGGUCCAAUUUUUUUUCCCUUUUUUUUUUUGAUUUUUUCCUGAUCCAGUUUUGAAAUGAAAUGUUGUAUUAACCUACAAAUGGCUCAUUAGUCACCAUAAUAAAUCAUGACAAACCAAUCAGGGGGUGAAAGGAUCCACCAACUUUGGUAUUUGGUAACCUAAUCUGAGACAAUCGCUUUCGGUCUUUUGAUGGGCUGUAGAACAUUCGCAAGUUCAUUUCUUUUGGAGUUGAAGAAUAACUUAGAAUUGAAUUCGUUGCAUCCAGAUCAUAUGUUUCUGGCGUGCAACUUUGGACUUCAGUCUCCCACUCUUGUGAUCUCAUUCAGUGGCAAUGUCACAUCAGUGGCAAUAUCACAUCAAUGCCCAAACUUGAAUCAGAUGUUUAAGACAUGAGCCGAGGUUAAAAACAUGCAUUGAUAUCCAAGACCAAGGGAUGGGGAGUGGAGAGGAAGAAAAUAUAUCAUAUAAAGCAUGAGAGCACCAUGGCCAUCAUCAUUAUUGGAUAUUUGUAUUGAAAGAAUUACAUAAAAAUUCUUAGUUGAUGCCACUUUUCUCUGGAGGAAUGGACAUUUUCAAUGUUUCCUUUCAUUGGUGGUCGUCGUACGGUUCCGAUGGAAUCUUUCAACAUGACCCUCCACUGCCUAAUUCUAUUCCAAUCACUUGAUGAAUCGAUGUUCCAGGGAGGCACCUUUAGGGAAUUGAUAUGAGCUAGAUCUCCUGCUACUUCCCUUGUCCUCGCUUGUUAGUUGAAGGUGCUACCACGGCGAGGUCAGGGGUUCGAAUGGUGGUGGAGAGAGGGAGAGAAUAGAGAGAGGAAAGAGGUACUUCAAAGUACCUUCCUUUUUUUUUUUUAUAUAUAAUAUAUAUAUUAUUUUAUUUUAUUUUAUAUUUUGUUUGAUAAAGAUAAAUCUAAAAUAUUUGAAAUGCAUUCAAAUAAAUUUUAGGUUGAGCUCGAAGAUGGUGGUGGAGAGAAAGGAAGAGAUCAGAGAGAGAGAGGAAAGAGGUACUUCAAAGUAUUUUUUUUAAGAUUUUUAUAUAUUUUUAUUUUUUAUUUUAUUUUAUUUUAUAUUUUUUUAGUAAAGAUAAACUUAAAAUAUUUGAAAUGCUUUCAAAUAAAUUUUAGGUUGAGCUCGAAGAUGUAAAUUCAAAUUGAUAUCAAUCAAAUAAGGAUCAAGCUCGUUUACAAGGCCCAUAACUUGCAACUAAUCCAUUCAUAUGUUGCCAUCUCCAUCUUGAAAAAAAGUGAGGUACUUCAAAGUAUCUUCUUUUUUUUCAACAAAAAAAAUAUCAAAUAAAAAAAAUAUAAUUUAUUUAUUUAUUUUAUUGGUAAAGAUAAAUAUGUAAUAUUUAAAAUUUAUUUAAAUAAAUUUUGAAUUGAGCUUAAGAAUAUAAACUCAAAUUGAUAUUAAUCCAAUCGAGAUCAAGCUCAUUUACUAAGACCCAUAACUUUACAAUCAAUCUAUUCACAUAUUGCCGACUCCAAUUGGUUGGCCCUGCCUAUUUAACUUUGACUAUUUCAUUGUAUGGAUAUAUUUAUUAAUAACAAUGCCAAAUUUUUUUUUAAAAAAAUUUUGUAUACUUUUGGCCUUUUACUUCAUUUUAUUUUAUAUUUUUUGAUAAAAAUAAACCUAUAAUAUUGAAAAUAUAUUCAAAUAAAUCUUACGUUGAGCUCGAAGAUGUAAAUUCAAACUGAUAUCAAUCAAAUUGAGAUCAAGCUCAUUUACAAGACCCACAAUUUGCAACUAAUCCAUUCAUAUAUUGCCAUCUCCAUUUUGAGGAAAAGUGAGGUACUUCAAAGUAUCUUCUUUUUCUUCAACCAAAAAAAAAGUAUCAAAUAGGAAAAAAAAUUAUAUAAUUUUUUAUUUAUUUUAUUGAUAAUGAUAACUAUACAAUAUCUGAAAUUUAUUCAAAUAGAUUUUGAGUUGAGCUAAAGAAUAUAAACUCAGAUUAAUAUUAAUCCGAUCAAGCUCAUUUACCAAGGCUCAUAACUUUACAACCAAUCUAUUCACAUGUUGCCAACUUGAGUUGGUUGGCCCAUACUUAUUUAACUUUGAUCAUUUUAUUAUAUGGAUAUAUUUACCAACAAAAGUGCCAAAUAAAAAAAGAUUUUUAUAUACCUUUUAUCUUUUAUUUUAUUUUAUUUUAUUUUUUAGUAAAAAUAAACCUAUAAUAUUUGAAAUGUAUUUAAAUAAAUCUUACGUUGAGCUUGAGGAUAUAAAUUUAAAUUGAUAUCAAUCAAAUUGGGAUCAAGCUCAUUUGCAAGGCCCACAACUUGCAACUAAUCCAUUUAUACGUUGCCAUCUCCAUUUCAAAGAAAAAUGAGGUACUUCAAAGCAUCUUUCUUUUCUCAACAAAAAAAAAAUGUCAAAUAAGAAAAAAAAAUAUAUAUUUUUUUAUUUUAUUAGUAAAAAAUAAAUAUGCAACAUCUAAAAUUUAUUCAAAUAGAUUUUAAGUUGAGCUCAAAGAUGUAAACUCAGAUUGAUAUUAAUCCAAUCGAGAUCAAACUCAUUUACCAAGGCUUAUAACUUUACAACCAUUCUAUUCAUAUGUUGCCAAUUCUAGUUGGUUGGCUCAUGCUUAUUUAACUUUAAUCUUUUCAUUGUACGAAUAUAUUUACCAACAAAAGUGCCAAAUAAAAAAAAAGAGUUUUAUAUACUUUUUACCUUUUAUUUUAUUUUAUUUUUUUGGUAAAAAUAAAUCUAUAAUAUUUGAAAUGUAUUCAAAUAAAUCUUAAGUUGAGCUCGAGGAUGUAAAUUCAAAUUGAUAUCAAUUAAAUUAGGAUCAAUCUUAUUUACGAGGCCUACAACUUGUAACUAAUUCAUUCAUAUGUUGCCAUCUGCAUUUUGAGAAAAAAUGAGGUACUUCAAAGUAUCUUCCUUUUUUCAACAAAAAAAAUAUCAAAUAGAAAAAAAAGAAAAAAAUUUAUAUAAUUUUUAUUUUACUUUAUUUUAUUGGUAAAAAUAAAUAUGCAACAUCUAAAAUUUAUUUAAAUAGAUUUUGAGUUGCGCUCAAUGAUGUAAACUCAAAUUGAUAUUAAUCCAUUCGAGAUCAAACUCAUUUACUGAGGCCCAUAACUUUACAACCAAUCUAUUCAUAUAUUGCCAACUCCAGUUGGUUGGCCCAUGCCUAUUUAACAUUGAUCAUUUUAUUGUAUGAAAAUAUUUAUCAAAAAAAGUAUCAAAUUUUAAAAAAAUUAUAUACUUUUUGCCUUUUAUUUCAUAUUAUUUUAUAUUUUUUGGUAAAAAUAAAUCUAGAAAUUUGAAAUGUAUUCAAAUAAAUUUUAGGUUGAGCUUGAGGAUGUAAAUUCAAAUUGAUAUCAAUCAAAUUGGGAUCAAGCUCAUUUAUAGGCCCACAACUUGCAACUAAUCCACUUAUAUAUUGCCAUCUCCAUUUUGAGAAAAAAUAAGGUACUUCAAAGUAUCUUCUUUUUUUUUUUUUAACAAAAAAAAGUAUCAAAUAGAAAAAAAAGAAAAAAAUUAUAUAAUUAUUUUAUUUUAUUUUAUUGGUAAAGUCAAAUAUGCAACAUCUAAAAUUUAUUCAAAUAAAUUUUGAGUUAAGCUUAAGGAUGUAAACUUAGAUUGAUAUUAAUCCAAUCGAGAUCAAGCUCAUGUACCAAGGCCCAUAACUUUACAACCAAUCUAUUCACAUAUUGCCAACUCCAGUUGGUUGGCCCAUGCCUAUUUAACUUUGAUCAUUUCAUUGUAUGGAUAUAUUUUUUUCUUAAUUUUGGAACCACUUAUUCAAAAAAAUUUCUUAAAAUUUAUUUAAUUUUAAUAAAAUAUUAUAAUUAAAAUUAAGUAUAUUAAAUUAUUAACUAAUAAUAUAUUAAAGUAAUCAACAUAACAAAAUGGACUAAAUAUCUUUAAGUAAAUGCUAUACGUCAAUCUAAUUUAUAAAGUUUUUAUCUCUAGUGCUAUGUCCAAAUUCCAAACAAUAUUCUUCUCAAUGACUCAUAUUUAUUCAUUUUUGAGUAAUAUUAUAAAUACAAUAUUAUUUAAAAUAAUGGAUUUGAAAUAAAAAAUCUUUUAAAUUAUUUAUUUCAUGUUUUGUCCUCAAAAAGAUAUAUCCUCUCACUUAUUUUAAACAAUACCAUAUUAAUCUUGCCCUUUCUUUCUCCCCUUUGCCUAAGCUGAUUGGAUUCCCUUUCUCUCCUCUCGCUCCAUUAACUACCUCUCUCUUUUAUCUUCUCUAAUUGAAUCAUACUCUACUUUAAAAUUAUAAAGAAAAUGCUAAACAGAUUGGGGCCUCUCUAAUUUUAUUUAAACAUAUUUGGUGUCAUCUGCGUCUUUGUUCUUUUAUUCUUUGAACAUAUAUUGUGCAUGCUUCAUUGCUAAUAUAUUACAACUAAUUACAUAGAAUCCUGUGUGAUUCAAUGGAUUUGGAGAUCUUGAGUUGAAGCUGAUAGUUCAGGUUGAUUGACAUGUAUCUAACUUGUGAACCUGAUUGGUCGGAUUUGGGUUGAGUUAAACCUAGCAAUUGGGUUAGAGUUAGAAUUGUGAUGUCUAAGUGGCAUGCCUGAUUGGUCGGAUUUGGGUCGAGCCAAUUGUAGGAACUUGGUUCGAGUUAGAAUUGCAAUGCCUCACUUGUAGACAACUCUUAGAUUUUUUAUUUUUAAGCCAAUUAAGCUCAAAUCAUACAUGAGCUUAAAGUUAUCCAAAAGUAUCAUAUACGAAAAAUUGUAAAGAGCUCCCCCUCCCAUCCUUGCAUUGUCAAACUAUUUAUAUGUAGAACCAAAAUAAUUGAAAGGAAAAAGAAAAAGCCCAUCCAUAAAUUUUGUUGAGUAAUUCUUUAUACACUGCAUGCGGUGCAAUAGUAGCGCACCGCUCGAUAAUAUUAGAGCACGUAGCGCAUUUAUAUGGGAUGGAUAUUUAAUGCCGCUUAGCCUUUUUUUUCUAAUUUUCAGUGACAAAAAUACUCUUUCCUCUAUACAACAAAGAAAAAAUAAUUAUUACUUUAUAAUACUUUGUAUGAUUUUUCAUGAAUAUAUAUGAUAUUCUGAACUAUAUAUAUGACUUACUGUAUAUUUAUGACAUUCUGAAUAAUAUAUAUAAUUUUUUGAUACCUUGUAUAAUUUUUUAUGAAUGUAUAUGACAUCUUGAACAAUAUAUAUGACAUACUGAACAACAUAUAUGACUUCCUAACAUUUUAUAUGACUUCCUGUGAGCAUAUAUGACAUCUUGAAUAAUAUAUAUGACAUUCUGAACAACAUAUAUGGCUUCCUAAUGCUUUAUAUGACUUUCUGUGAGUAUAUAUGAUAUUUCGAACAAUAUAUAUGACUUUUUAUAAAUAUAUAGGAUGUCCUGAACAACAUAUAUUGCUUCAUAAUGUCUUAUAUGACUUUCUAUGAAUAUAUAUGAUAUUUUAAAUAAUAUAUAUAAUUUUUUAUAAAUAUAUAUGAUGCUCUAAAUAAUAUAUAUGACUUCUUAGCGUCUCAUAUGACAUCAGAAAGUCAUAUAUAUUUUUUAGAACGUCAUAUGUAUUCACAGGAAGAUAUAUAUAUAUAUAUUAUUCAUAAUGUCAUAUAUAUUCACAAGAAGUCAUAUAAAGUAUUAAAAAACUAUAUAUGUUAUUCAGGACGUCAUAUAUAUUCACAGAAAAUUAUAUAUAUUGUUUGAGAUGUUAUAUAUACCCAUUUGAAGUCAUAUAAGAUAUUAGGAAGUCAUAUAUAUUGUUCAGAAUAUCAUAUGUAUUCACAGGAUGUCAUACAUAUUAUUCGAAAUGUCAUAUAUAUUCAUAGAAAGUCAUACAAAGCAUCAAGAAGUCUUAUAUAUUAUUCAGGAUGUCAUAAAUAUACAAGAAGUCAUAUACAUGAUUCAGGAUAUUAUAUAUAUGUACGGAAAGUCAUACAAGGCAUUAGGAAGUAAUAAUACUAUUCCUUCUUUGUUGUAUAGAGAAAAUUGUAUUUUCAUCAUUGAAAAUUGGAAGAAGAAAAAGCUGGAUGAUAUUAAAUGUAUGUCUCAUUGUUAAGUAUAUUAUAUGUUUUAAAGUAAUUGAAUAAUGUACUCCACGUCAAAUUUAUUACACUGCACGCAGUGCACAAAAAUUUUAUCAAUUUUGUUUGCCAUGUUUUUAAUCAGGCAGUCUCUUUACUUUCAAAUGGGUCGAAGCUGCAUUAAUGAUGCAUUUUGUAGCUUCCUGCAAAUGCAAUCAACCAAAUUUCAUACUAUAUAACAUACGGCGGGCUAUCGGAUGGUCCUUUUCAAUAGUUCUAUCCUAAUUACCGCACAUGGAAUGAGGCUUCAAUUUGCGCAUGACGGUAGAAGCGGCGGUGGAAUGCAUUGUAAAUUCCAAUUAUUGUAGCUGGCUACAUGUUACAAUUUGCACUUAGUAGGUAGAAGAUACAGUUAUUGCUCUUUCACAAGAGAUUUCAUGUUUAACAAAUCAGAUUUGGCUCGAGGUUUAAGCAGCACCGGAUGAUGUAGGUAGUUACAAAUACGAGUUGAAGCUGGCUUUAUUUGUUUUCCCCUUUAUUUUUUAUCAAGGUAAACAUCCAGCCAUAAGUUAAGGCCCAUGGAUCACUUGUAGGUCUGCAAUAUUAUACCCGAGACAAGAUCGCCAAUCCAUUAUUAAAAAAAAAAAAAGAAAGAAAAGAUCAUCAAUCCACCGCUGACUUGUUGCCAUAUAGUGAAUUGCACCAAAUUCAGGUCUUUCUUGCCAAAUCCAACAAACCCACCAGUUACCGCACCUCCUUAAAAAAAAAAAAAANAAAAAAAAAAAAGUAAACUCAGACGCUGUUUACUUACAAGACCAUCCAUCAUAUAUCNNNNNNNNNNNNNNNNNNNNNNNNNNNNNNNNNNNNNNNNNNNNNNNNNNNNNNNNNNNNNNNNNNNNNNNNNNNNNNNNNNNNNNNNNNNNNNNNNNNNNNNNNNNNNNNNNNNNNNNNNNNNNNNNNNNNNNNNNNNNNNNNNNNNNNNNNNNNNNNNNNNNNNNNNNNNNNNNNNNNNNNNNNNNNNNNNNNNNNNNNNNNNNNNNNNNNNNNNNNNNNNNNNNNNNNNNNNNNNNNNNNNNNNNNNNNNNNNNNNNNNNNNNNNNNNNNNNNNNNNNNNNNNNNNNNNNNNNNNNNNNNNNNNNNNNNNNNNNNNNNNNNNNNNNNNNNNNNNNNNNNNNNNNNNNNNNNNNNNNNNNNNNNNNNNNNNNNNNNNNNNNNNNNNNNNNNNNNNNNNNNNNNNNNNNNNNNNNNNNNNNNNNNNNNNNNNNNNNNNNNNNNNNNNNNNNNNNNNNNNNNNNNNNNNNNNNNNNNNNNNNNNNNNNNNNNNNNNNNNNNNNNNNNNNNNNNNNNNNNNNNNNNNNNNNNNNNNNNNNNNNNNNNNNNNNNNNNNNNNNNNNNNNNNNNNNNNNNNNNNNNNNNNNNNNNNNNNNNNNNNNNNNNNNNNNNNNNNNNNNNNNNNNNNNNNNNNNNNNNNNNNNNNNNNNNNNNNNNNNNNNNNNNNNNNNNNNNNNNNNNNNNNNNNNNNNNNNUACACACACACACACACACACACACACACACANAUAUAUAUAUAUAUAUAUAUAUAUAUAUAUAUAUAUAUAUGUGUGUGUGUGUAUGUGUUGGGAUAAACCGAUCGAUCUUCGACUUUGGUCACUACGACUUCGAUUAUGCAUCGGCCGAACCGAUAAUAUCGAUUCUUUAUCAACUGACCAACCUACUAUUGGUUAAUCAACUAAGAUCGGUUGACCGACUAGUAUUCGACUAUCAUCGAUCGAUAGCGGACGAUUUAGACCGUCGGCAUGCGACAGCAUGAUAGAGCUAAUAGCCGACGGCCAUCCAUAGAUUCUGCCGAUAUAAAGUCGGCUAUACUGACAUAUGAUCGGCAACCUGCUCAACAUACCAUAACUGUUGCAAACGGUUAUCUACUAUGUCACGGCUAUUAAGGAGAAGUAACACCCCACUAAUUCUAUAUUUAUGGUCCGAUAAUUUAGCGUCAUAAAAAGCAGGACCACAUGCUCGAUGAUUACAUUAGAGUCACUUAUAAAAAGGGGAGGUAAGUGAAUAGUAGGGGUAAGCCAAUUUUAGACCAAAGCUCUGCUACCUUCGAUAUUGAAAUCUACUGUUCAUCAAUUUUCUCUUUGACUUAAGCAUCGAAGGGUCUCCAUCGGACACAACUCCGUUCUGUAUGGAUGUUGUUUUGCAGGUGCUCAUCACAGGCGACAGAGAGUUGGCCGCAAUAGAUUGGCAUGCCAGGAAGGGGUAGAACUUAUUGCAUCGUGACGAAAAUCAGAGCCCAACGCUCGAAUACAACCGGAUCAGCAAGACACUCUUUUCGUCGGAAAGAAGUUCCUCCCCCUCCUCCAGUAGCAAAGCCUAGUUCCUCACAUCCUGUGAUUAUCACGGACAUCCAGAUUGCUGCACUCGUACAGCAAAUGAAUAUUCUUACGAAUGCAGUUAAAAGUCUCCAAUAAUAGCAGACCCAGCAGCAGCAGUAGCCACCGUUGGAACAACCGAUGGUGCAUUCGGUGUCGUCCAGGCACAGCCGCCACCAUCUACGGCAAUCACCUUCCCUUUCUCCGGAGCGACCGUCUCGAUUUUUUCAUCGAGACGAACAACCACAUUCUCGACACUCUCGAUGUACCACUCAUCGUUCACGGUAUUUUUCUUCUCCUUCUCGUCUCAACAGCAUUAGGAAAGGAAAAUGAUCGCGAAUGCCCUCCGCUUCUCCUUCAAGCUCAUCGAGAGGUUCUAUCCCUAGAGUUUUCCGGCAACGAUGGUUCGACGAUUACGACCGCAAGUUCCAGAAGAUCAACCGCCAACUUAUCCAGCUUCAAGUGGAAGGUCAGAAGUCCUCAAACGACUACGAUUUUUACACCGCCCAACCUCUUUCUCGACACAUCUUGGACCAACCGAUCCCAUCCCGGUUCAAGAUGCCGCAAGUGGAGCUAUACGACGGCUCCACCGAUCCGAUCAAUCAUCUUAAGAGCUACAAAGCUCUUAUGACAAUUCAGGAGGCAACCGACGUCCUCUUGUGUAUCAGGUUUCCGGCAACUCUUCGAAAAACUGCUCGAGCCUGGACUUCGGAUUUCAAUCAGGAAGUAUAUACUCUUUCGAAUAGCUAGAAUAUUCUUUCGUGGCUCACUUCAACACCAGUCAAAGGCCGUUACGAACCUCCGACAGUCUCUUCUCGAUCAAACAAGGAGAGACUGAGACACUUUGAGAUUUUGUGAUCCGUUUUAAUGCAGCCACGCUUGAGGUCAAGGAUCUCAAUGAAAAUAUGGUCAUAUCGGCCAUGAAAAGAUGUCUGAAGGGAUCUCGAUUCACAUAUUCUUUGGACAAGACUCUCCUUCGAACUUAUACCGAACUUCUGGAGCGUGCAUACAAAUAUAUGCAUGCAGAUGAAGGAGCUUCUGACUGACGCCAGAUAGAAUGUAAAAAUCAGAAAAAGAAGAAACAGAAGAAGGGAGAAGCUCCGAUUGAAUCAAGUCGGCCAUCUUCUAAUAAGCAAAUUUCGUCUCGACGACGGAGUCCAAAGUCGAGUUAUGGCAGGUAUGACUCCUAUGCUCCUCUUUCUGCUCCUCGUGCGUAGAUUCUUAUUAAAAUCGAAGGAGCAGAAUAUCUACGAUACUCUCCACCGAUGAAAGCGUUGCCGAGGAACCACGACCAAAGGAAGUAUUGCGAUUUUAUCGUGAUCAUGGUCACGAUACCGAACAAUGCAUCCAACUCAGAGACGAGAUAGAAGUCCUGAUUCGAUAAGGCUACCUCGAAGAAUACUGCAGAGAUCCUCCGAUGCAACCUCCUACCGAUCGACGACCCCAACCGCAAAUUGAGGAGGCUGUAAAUGAUCAGUCGACUGCAGGAGUGAUCAACAUGAUCUCCAGAUGAUCGAAUUGGGGGGCAACUUCCGAAAAAGAGUCGGCGAAAUGACGACGACUCAACAAUAUAAUAACUUUCUCGAAAGAAGAUAUUUGAAAAAUUCAGACUCCCUAUAAUGAUGCUGUUGUUGUCUCGGCAACGAUAGCAAAUUAUGAUGUAAAAAGAAUUCUUGUAGAUAAUUAAAGUUCAACUGAUGUUCUAUUUUACCCGACUUUCUUCCGAAUACGACUGUCGACUGACCGACUCAGAAGAGUCUCGACCCCAUUGGUUGGCUUCACAGGAGAUGCUGUCACAGUGGAAGGAAAAAUCUCUCUCCUUUUAAUCGCUGGAACCGAACCACAAUAGAGCACUAUUCUUAUAACAUUCAUGAUAGUUCGAGUACCUUCGGCUUAUAACGCCAUACUCGGAUAACUUGGGCUUAAUGCUUUGAGAGCAGUGGUUUCGACAUACCAUUUGUUAGUCCGAUUUUCGACAAGAAAUAGGAUUGGAGAAAUACGUGGAGAUCAACAACUCAUCCGACGUUGCUUCCUUGUCUCCACCCAAAAUAAUAAAUCUAAAGACUCUUUGCCUGUUAACAAAUUGGAUCAAAGAGAGAAUCAGGAGAGGGGUGAACCAGCUGAACAACUGAUUUCCAUCUCGUUAAAAGAAGAAAAACUGGUUCUUCCAUACAUGAAUGGACGAUGGAAGAUCGGUAAUAAAGGAUAGACCUUUUUGAGGGUUGAAGAACCAUCACUCUGGAGCCUUUGGAUGAGGUCAGAGGACAAAGAAGGCUCGGAAAAGAGAAGGACGAGACAUUGUCGGCAAUAUCCGACACAGUAAAGCAAAACUAAUUAUCAGUCGGACCGAGUUCAGUGCCAGCUGAGGUGGACAAAGUCCGUAAUAAUCCAAAAUAUUUCGAAUAACUUUUGGGAUCGAAGAUCGAAGAUCCACCCGAAGAUCUUCGACAUAGAAGGCCAUCUGGUUCGAAGGAGGGUUAUUCACCCGACCAUCGACUCCAAGGGCAAAAAGUUGAAACUGCUCCGGGAUAUAGAAUUGCUCUUGAAGCCGCUCAACAUUCGGUCCUGAAGGUGAAGAGUCCUCCACAUCCGGACUCGACUGGGAUUUAUCAGUCAGAUUCUCCGACCGAUCGUCCUGAGAAAGAGAAGUCCUAGCCAUGAAAAUGACUCUAAAGAAGAUGAGAAUCCUAGAGGAAAGAACUCAAAAAGAAAAAACUAAAUUGGACCUGAAGGUUGGGACCGAGCGUUGAGGCGACAAUCCGGUAGAGUCCUGAUACCAAAGAUAACAAAAAAUAAAAAUUUGACUGAGAGUGACCCUAUGUAUAGGAUCCCUCAAUGGUCGACAUGAAAGUGGUGAAAUCGAAGAUCUAUCAGAUGAAGACAAAUGGCAACAUCUGGACCAACCAUUGAUCGGACGGUUCGACGUACCUACUCCAGAUCAAGCCACGUCACCUCUAUCCGCAUGAACAACUCCGAUCCAAUAACAUUCGGACAUGUGGCACAAAUGUAUUUGUCGACAUCAUAUCGUCAGACGCCGAGUCGACUUUCCAAAAUGACGCCUGACACUGACAACUGAUACUGGAUCGACCAGUCAGUAUAACAGACGACCAUAUCUACCAACAUGACAAAGUAGCCGAUCACCCAUAUCUCGAAGAAAACAGUAUCAAAAUUGAAACUUGAUGUGAUAGAACUCUUUUCGACCAACGUGAUAAACCAUUCAGCAAUUCACAUGUCGGCUCAUUUUGGACUUGAGAGUGGCGGGCAACUAUUGGGGUAAACCGAUCGAUCCUCGACUUUGGUCACUACGACUUCGACUAUGCAUCAACCGAAUAGAUAAUACUGAUUUUUUAUCAACUGACCGAUCUAUUGUCAGCUAAUUAACUAAGAUCGGUUGACCAACUAGUAUUCGACUACCAUCAAUCGAUAGCGGACGACUUAGACCGUCGGCAUGCGACAGCAUGACAGAGCUAAUAGCCGAUGGUCACCCAUUAAUUCUGCCAACAUAAAGUCGGCUAUACCAACAUAUGGUCGGUAAUCUGCUCAACAUACCAUAACCGUCGCAAAUGGUUAUCGACUAUGUCACGACUAUUAAGGAGAAGUAACGCCCCAUUAAUUCUAUAUUUAUAGUCCGAUAAUUUAGCAUCAUAAAAAGUGGGACCACAUGCUCGACGGUUACACCAUAGUCAUCUAUAAAAAGGGGAGGUAAGUGAACAGUAGGGGUAAGCCAAUUUUGGGUCAAAGCUCUGCUACUCUCGAUAUUGAAAUCUACUGUUCAUCAAUUUUUUCUCUGACUUAAGCAUUGAAGGGUCCUCGCCGAAUACAACUCCAAUAUGUGUAGAUGUUGUUUUGCAGGUGCUCAUCACAGGCGACAGAGAGUUGGCCGCAACAGUAUGUAUGGAUAUAUGUAUACAUAUAUAUAUACAUACAUACAUACAUAUACACACACACAUACAUACAUACAUACAUAUCUAUCUAUAUACAUACAUACAUACAUACAUACAUACAUAUAUAUAUAUCUAUGUAUAUACAUACAUACAUACAUACAUACAUAUAUAUAUCUAUGUAUAUAUAUAUAUAUAUAUAUAUCUAUGUAUGGAUAUACAUACAUACAUAUAUAUAUAUGUGUGUGUGUGUGUGUUUGUAUAUGCAUAUAUAUGUAUGUAUAUGUAUACAUAUAUGUAUAGGUAUAUAUAUGUCAAUUUCUCGGCUAAGGUUUCAACUACCAUCCCCUCUCCAUCAGAGGAUGCCAACUAGCUGCAUAAGGCCUCAUUUUCCCUUCCUCCACUGGAGGAUGACGCCCUCCAACUCGUCCUCCAGUUAUUUCGACCGUAAUUAGAGCUGCAAUAUUUUAUACCCGACCUACCUCAACCUGCAUCCAAACAGCGAUACUGGCCCAUCUAGCCGUUCAACUUGCAGCGCGAGUGAAUUUGCGUGCACCCAACAGCCCCUAAGAGUGGAGCGACUGCUUACAAGUCAGUCAAUCGUAGUUCUGUCUGGAAGACAAAUGUACAAAGAGCCAACUCACCAGUCUUUGCUUGCACUCAUAAGCUACAUAAAACAUAUCCAGAAGAAAUGAGAAAGCUACCCACAUCCAAAAAUAAUAAAUAACAAGGAUGACAAAGUAUUUUUCUUACGUCUAAAUUGACUGAGGAAGUCCCAGCAAAAGCAAUUCAAUCGAACCAAAAGAUUUUGAUAUCAUCAUUCGAACAUCAAUCUAUCGGAUUGGGACCCCCGGAACAGAUAAAGUUGAGCACCAUCAAAAUCAUAACCAACCGACCUAGUUCAUGCCUGCACGCAUUUGCUUGACCUAUUGGACUAGGAACAGAAUCAAGUCCACGCUCCAAUUUUCUAAUGGGUCCACCACGGCUUAAAUUAUAAGCAACGUUGCUAUUGAAUUAGGUCCAAGAUAAGCAAGCCACUUUGCAUCCGACCCCAUGAGGCCUUGACAUUAUGGUAAACAGUAACAAUCACUACGGAUAUCUCAAGCAAUUUCUGGAAAAGAAUUGUAAUCAAUUCAAGUUUCCAUAAAGCACAUACAAUUAACUGAGUGGAACACAAACGGUAUGAUGCACAAGGAUUAUACAAUAUUUACUUAGGAUCCAAACGCUGAAAAUGCAAGGAGAAGACGACAAAGCGGGGAGAAAAGGACUAUCGUUCUGAUGGAGAAAGACAACAAAUAAGGAAUAUCAUACGUCAGAUUAACAUUCUUCAACAUGAACCAGCUUGAGAAAAGGAACCAUCUCUCUUCCUCCUGCCGGACCUGAAGGAAAUGAGCUCAACUGCAACAGCCACCAGUUUGAGAAGAAGAGCCAUCCCUUCCUCCCGCUGGACCUGGGAUUCCUCCAUAUCCAACUUUGAUUCCGUAAGACUGCAGAAGUUGCACAACAAGAUUAUAGGGAAAGAAAAAAAAGAAAAAAGGGAUGGUAAUAUCAAAGAGAAGAUAGAGUUCUAAGAUCCGCAAUAUAAAUUUAUCAUCGGGCAGAAGCAAAGGUAGAGUCGUGAUUAUUAUAUGAAGGCACGGGAUCACAAAUAGCCGUUGCAAAAUAUUAUACCAAAUAAUUAAGAUGAUGAUGAUGGAGAAAGCGAAGUUUCGAUACAGUAAAGUUGCCCAAUACCAAUAUCACUGUCAUCAAAUGAUCACACCUAGUCAAGCCUAGUGGGUCCCAGCGAGGAAGUGACAUCCACUAUAUGUAUUUGCUUUUCCCCUCCGACCAAUGUAUCUCCCACCCAACCAUGCCCUGAGGUACUGGCGUACUAGUUCUAAAUGAGGGUCAGCACUCAGCAGUGUCUUUUAUUGCCAAAAAGGGUAAAUAUUUCAAGUUUUCAAAAAUAAUCAAAAUAAUGCACUAUGUCAUUAUCAAUUAAUUGCUUGAUAUGGUAUGGGUCUCUUCAUCGGCGAUGAGGGACCCAGCUUUUGGGGCAAAAUACUGCGCACAGAGUAAGGGAAAACACCAGAAAACCUCAAUGCUAUGAGAAAGGACGAAGGAAAAAAGCUCAAAAAAACUGAUCUGGAUGGGAAGAAAUGGAAAAGCACAAUUUACAAAACCAAUCACAAAUACAUGAUACUUACUAAUAACAGCAACACACCCCCUCUCCCCAAUCUUCCCUCCAUGUGCACAGAGCUAAUAUCGGACAAAAAAACUUGAUAGGGUCCAAAUAUGAGUAAAGACUUACCUCAUUUGAUACAUCAAAGACCCCAUCUUGAAUUUUCUUGUAUAUUGUUGCUGCUGUGCUGAUGAAUGCCUGGAAAAGCAGUAGACAUUAGAAAAGCCGGAUUUAAAUUAUAUAUGUAUAUAUAGAAGAAGAAACUUUCACCUACUGUUUAGCAUGAAAAUAGCAAGGCUUAUUUACCUCCUCAACAUUCUGAGCUGUUUUUGCAGAAGCCUCCAUAAAGAUCAAGCCAUGCUCCUUAGCAAACUGCUCGCCUUCCUCAGUGCUGACAGCUCUUCUGUGAGCCAGAUCACAUUUGUUUCCAAUCAGCAUAAUUGUCAUAUUAGCAUUUGCAUGCUGCCUUGCAUCUUCUAACCAACUUGCAAGAUGGUUAAACGUCUCCCUCCUGAGAAUUGUAUUAAAGGACAAGAGUAUAAGCAUCUAUGUAACAUCUAAAGUUCAGAGAGUAAUAAAUUCAGUUUUGCAUUGUUGAAUGCCAAGGAGUCUCUAAUAAUAAACAAACCUGGUGAUAUCAUAGACUAGUAGUGCACCUGCAGCGCCUCUGUAGUAAGAUCUCGUUAUAGAUCUGAAAGAUUCUUGGCCUGCCUGUAGUGUUAAAAAAACUGUGCAUCAGAUGCAUGUGGUGGCGGUUUGGCAGGGAAUAUCCCACCCAGUUGCUUCAAACUACAACUUAAAAAGCAAUGGGUUCAGCCAAAUAGCACCAAUUCAUUUGUAAGAUUAUCAAUGCAACUUUUGCUGAUAAAGUAACAACCUGAACAGCAUCUACACAACUUUCAAAUUUAUUAAGUUGGGGAAAAAAUACUAUCAUGACAACUGAACAAAUAAAGUUGCAUAUCACAAACAUCACACAUGUUCUUCCCUUACCACUAAUGGUGGUCCAAUAAUGAUACACCCAUGGUUCAGAUCAUAAAUCAGUAGAAAAUGCUCAGCAAUCACAACAGUGAUUUCUUUUGUACAGUGGAGCAUUAAGAGGAAAGUCAAGCAGCGGUUGUUGAGUGGGAAGUUGUGGGCUCUGGCUAAAAUGGAGGCAAAGGAGGUGACGUAGGUACGAGGAACUUACAGUAGUCACUUGAAUUGAUAUUAGUAACAAGAUUACAAUGAUAAAUGAUGUAUUGUAAAUAAAUGAUAGCUAAAUGACUAUCUUGGGAUUAUGCUAAUUCCAGUCACUAUCACCUUAGCAGUCUAUUGGUAAGUUAGGGAAGUACUAACUUUGCAUUGCAAACUGGACGAGGCAUAUCCACGAGAAACAACAUUCAUUUUGGUAAGCAAGGUGAUAAAUAAAGGGUCAUAGAGAUUGUUGCUUCACCUCUAAGUCUUUCUGUUAAAAAGCCUCAUUAAAUGGAAUCCUGUUCAGUGGCUAAGAUAUCAAAAGAAAUUUCCAAUAACAUUAUAAUAGAAGCUAAUUUAUCUAAAAUGACUAUUCAAUCAGGAGUUUUCUCACUCAAAAGUAUCAUCUUAUCAUGAAGCACGGAAUUUUCAACAAUAUACCUUUUCUAUCAGGUCAAAUCUCCCUAACCAGAGAAGGCAGGGCUUUGACAUGUUACAGCUGUACUUUGCUUUUGGCAUACUUGAGCAAAUUUUUAAUACAAACAGAAAUAAGACUCUCAUUAAUUUAUGGUAAGAUGAGUAAGAUUGCACAAGUGCAAAUUGCAAUGUAUAGUCACAGGUUUGGCUUUUGGCAGGUUUAGAUAGAUGAAAAAUUAGAAAUUCAAGGAGGAAAAAAAAAAAAGAAGCAAAAUUGUUAGAAGUCCAUAAAGAAAAAAUGAAAGAAAGAAAGCAAAUUCAAAGACGUAAAUACCUAAUGUAUUACAUAUCCAUGAACUCUCACAUGAAGAGAAACAGCAGUGAAUGCCAAUAGCAGCAAGAAAUAGAAAAAUAAUAAAACUAAAAAUAGCACUGACUAUUCAAUAAUUAUCCCUUAUCUUGGGAAUAGGCAUGAUUUGUUUUCAUUAUGAAUUAAUACUAAAUAUCUCCUAAAGAAUUAAAUUAUUCAAGCAUGAAUUUCAAACUCACUUUAAAAUUCCAAAACUCCAUAAAUAAUUGUAGACUCAUUCCAGUAAUUCAUGGAACAUUGUCACCAACAGCAGACAUGAAGUAAUGGUCCAAAAAGCUUAAAAUAUUUAGAAGGACUGGUGUCUCAAGCAUCACAAAUUGCCAGGAAGAGACACAUCAAAAUAAAGGGAAUCUAGCUACAUCAUGAGCUGGAGAACAAGCUAGCUAUAUUAUCAAUUCACAAGUGCCAAUAAUAUCUCUUUGAUCUCUACUAAAAGUUAAUGGGCUUUGAAAUGCGGAUCACAAACAAGAGUAUGGCCAGCUUUGGCCUCAAUGAAGGGACCAAUGAUGCUGAUCAUAAUUUGCAAGCAGCUUGGGAGAUGAGAGCGAGGAAGCGAGAGAAGAUGACACAGUUCAAAAAGAAAAUUAGCAAUACCAACUGAUUAGGUUUGAGUAAAUAUUUGUUGGUUACACCUAAAAACCCUUUUCUUAAAAACACUAUGAGGACCCUCACCAUGGGUCUCCUGAAGAUCUAGUACUGGUGUGUAAAACUCUCAAAUACAUUUUUCCAAAUGUAGUUCCUUUUUGCAAGCUGACUGCUGUGUUAUGGAAGUAACCCAUUCCAAUACAUCCAUUUAUUUUAUGCUACCAUGAACUAAACGCCACCAACAUCUGCAACACUAACAUUACCUGUAACAUUGAUCCCGUACUGCCAUAGCUCAAUGUUAGCACCCAAAUCAUUUUCUAUGCCCACUGAUUGUCCUAGGCUGAUACACAUCUUGUUAAUUGAACAUUCAUUUGCACCUAAACCACCCACAAACGGGACUAUGUUUCACCACUCAACCCUAAUCAAACAUGCAAGCACAAAGAUCAUAAAAUGCAAGUAUAAAUUGCAGCCUGCUUCUUCUAUCUCCUACUCAUCUUAAACAUCCAUGCACUAUAUUAGAUCACCAGUUGCAUUUGCCACAUGCAUCCUUAUUCCUUUUCCUAUCUACUUGGGCUUUAGCUGUCUUCCAUUCAAGAAGAGCAGCAGUGUCAUAUGCAAGUGUGAAACAUGUUUCCAUAACAAGUCAUACAACAAAAUUCAAACCCUACUCAUCUAAUGUCCUAAUCAUUACAUCCAUAACCAAUCACAACCCAUUUUCUUCCUUAGGUAUCCAACAUACCUUUAAAAGAGGGGAAAAAUUAAGAGCAGGCAACCAAUUUAGCCACUCCUUGUGGUGCAAAGUCAGCAACCAAUAGCUUAAACUGUUUUCAGAAUCAUGUACCAAUGAUCACUAUGUCCACUACUCCUAUUCAUGUAUCGCUGCCAUUGAGGCACUCCUAUUGUCUCUAUCCAUUGCUCCCAAAUUAUAACAUGUGAGCAAGAUCUGUCCAACCACUCCCCGUUGGCUGAAUCUGAAGACUGUGGUACAUGGAACUCCAUGGAGCAAUGUUACCCAGACACACUUGGCAUUGGUGCCAAAGGUCCAAGUGCCCCUAAGUGUAGGACAUAGCAUCCACCAAAAAUCUAGGCACGGAAACAAGGCACACACACACACAUCUAUAUCUAUCUAUCUAUCUAUCUGUCUCUAUCUCUAUAUCCAUCUAUCUAUCUAUCUCUAUAUAUGUAUAUAUGUGUAUACACAUGUGUGCGUAUAUAUAUAUAUGGGUAUACACAUGUGUGUAUAUAUAUAUAUAUGUGUGUAUACAUGUGUGUAUAUAUAUAUAUGUGUAUAUAUGUGUGUGUGUGUAUAUAUAUGUGUAUAUAUGUGUGUGUGUGUAUAUAUAUAUAAAAUAAACAUACUUACAUACACACAGAUUUGUGUCUGUGUCUGAUUUCAAAGAUAGAAUAGCUUAAAAGGGAAGGAGGGUUAUAGAUGCUAUCAAACAAAAAUAAUGAUGGAAUAACUAUAAGUUUGCUAGUUGUUUAAUUUAUUUGCUAGGCUCAUUUUAAGUCUCUUAAGAUGCAUUGAGGUACUUAAAUGGUAAUUAACUAUGACAAAUCCAUAUUUUUAACAUCAUAACGUUUCAUUUGAAGUGUUUAUACAAUCUUGAUAACUUUAUGUUAGAAAAAUAAAACACUUUGCUUGAAGUGUCUACAAAACCCAGGAAACUCCACAUUGAAAAUAGGACACCCCGCUUAAAGUGUCCAGCACUUAAAACAAGGAGUCCCCUAGUUGACAUCACCACAAGAAUUCAAAGUGGAGUUUCCAGCCACACCAUGUCUUGUCAUAUCCAAGUGUUCAAAAGUAUUGAUACUCCCAAACAACUUAAAAAUGGAGUGUCCAUCAAUCAACUCCAAAAUUCUGGAUCACUUCUUUCAAGUAAAUUAACAACAUAUCCAUUGUUUACAUUCUGCAAAGUCACCAGCAAGAAACCUUCCCAUCUUUUAUAAGAGGUUACAAAAGAUAUUAGCCUCAAAAUAACUUGGACUGUAAAGUUCUUAGGAUGCCAACUCUCCAUUACAACUUUCAUAUGAUUCGUUCCUUCCUUAUUUGAGUGGUAGAACUUAAUUGAAAUAUUUUGAUUAAUUCAUCUCUAAGCUCUUCUUCUCCCAGUUAGGUCAUGCUUGAGAAAUAAUUCAAACUUAUUAGAUCCCUCAUCCAUUACAUAUUUCAAAGAAUCACCAACUCAUUUCAACUCAAGAAAUCCCUUGUAUAUGGUGUUCUAAUUUGAUGAGAAUUCCCACUACUCAAGGUAAGCAUGUUCAAAGAAGUUCAAAGAAGCAUGACACCAAAAUCCAAUCAUAUUUCCUUCCCUCCUUAAAUGAUAACUACGUUUGAGUCUGAAAAUGGGCUUGCACAUUGGAGACUAAAAUUCCAUUAUGAACACAAUAGUAAACUCUUCAUUGAAUGAUCUUCUACCAAAAUGCUGCAACCUGUUGCCAAACUAUAGUUACUGGGAAAUAGAUAUCAUAUUCCUACUCGAUUUUCAUGAUUUUCAUGAGAAAUAAGUUUGGGAGAUGAGCUGGAUUCAUUUUCUCAGAGCUCUUAAGAGGGACAAAGCAAGUGGAGAACACAUGAGAGAGUUAGGGGGAAGCAGGGGAAUGACAAACUCCUUCAGGGAUAUUUUCUAGCUGCCAUGAGUUUAGUUCAUGGAAUAUGUCAAUUUGAGCAACCCAUUACUGCCAUUGAUUAAGCUUUUGGUUUGGAGCCGGGAGGUGGGGGUGGUGUGUGGUGUGUGGGGGGGGGGGGGGUUGUUUUGGGUGGGGCACACCAGUUGCCACCUCACAAUUGUUAAUGCUAGCUGCUGCCUCCCAUCUUGGCACAAAAACAAACCCUAGAAAAAGGCUAUACGAAGGAGGAAAAGGAAAGAAAGAGAUCAAGCAAUUCCCUUUUAUGACUUGAUAAAAGAACCCAGCCCCAAAGACAAACCCUAGAUGAAAAAGAAAAGGAAUAAAUUUCAAACUAUCUGCUUCAUAGUAUCAUGAAGGAAAAUGAAGGUACUUAGAUCAACUAGAGAAGGGUGAUAAUCACAUAGCCCUUAUUGUACUUAAGAAGAAAAACCAUUACCAUAUUUUUACACAUUCUGCCCAACAAUCAUGCCAUCAUGAUGAAAAGCAAUGGGUAGAUAGAUUUUCAACUCAAUCUCGCUUCUACUACAAAUAAGACCUCAAGAUUUUUAUCAAUAAGAACCAAAAUAGCCUCAAAAUGAUUUAGUUUCUUGCCCAUUACACUCACUCAAACAAAGGCCCAGAGUAAGGCAGGAUUGCCCCAAAUAAGGACUAUAAUUGGUGCUAGAUGAGCGCAGAAUACAGAUCAUGGAAGGCUUUAACUGGCUAUGAAACUCUGAUUUGUUUAAAGCCUUAACUUGAUAAAGAUUUUAUGUGACCAGACCAGCCCUUCAAGAAAUUCUUCCUUCAGAUCUGGAGUCAACUUAACAUGCUCAAGGGAUCCCUAGGUUGAAAGGAAUAGAAAGUUCAAAAUUGUUGAAGAUUGUGAAAAUAAAAAGGGUGUCCACUCCUUUCUCAUUGUUCCCCUCAACUUCAUUUUGCUCUCCCCACCCCACCAUAAUGACCAUAUCUUUUGCUAAAUCUUUAAUGGUAUAACAGAUCUUUUUUCAGAUCUGGCAAAUUCUGAUUGUUUAAGCUAAAAGAUCCCCAACAACCUUCUCCCUCAGAUCCAUUACCUUUGCUGCCACGAAUUUCUACUGCUGUUUAUAGCAGAAACAAGCAAGUCAACAGCAACUCUGAAGGUAAUCUUAAUGCUGUAGUUUAUCAUCAACUAAAACCACAACCAUAAGCGUUCUUGAGUUUGGGCUGCGCUAAUUUAGUACCUUUAUCCCACAUGGUUAAAAUACAGCUAACUGAUACUAGCAGCUCAAAUAUAUAUGUCAAAAACUAUCAACACAAUGAAUGGAUGUCAGAUGUAUCACUUCUGCAAUAUCACAUCCAUAUUAACAACCCUAUGGUUACAUAUGUUCUGCCAAUCUUCCAAGUACCAAAAACUUUAACCAGAAAGACCAAAAUUGCAAAACUUCUGGAUAGUAUUUGCCAGCCAGAUCACAUGGAAAUGAGAUGAGAUAGCAUCAAUUACUGUUUCUAAACAUUUAUUCCCCAACAUGGUGCCACACAUAUAUUCUCAUAAAGCCCAUCCAAAAUUUUCUCAGCAACUCCGAACCUCACGAGGUCAGCAUGCUUAUUUCAGCUCCAGUACCAUUAAUUUACAUGUGCAUUACAUCCUAUAUGUUCCAUGAAAGCACUCACUAUUCUUAACUUAGCAUAUACAUUAAUCCCACUGCAAAUCAGCAGUUUCCUGGUCAUAAGGUUUAAACACCUGGUUUUGGUUCUAGUUUCAGCUUGAUAGUGUGACUUUUGAAUCAGGUGAUCUGGGCCACUUUGGUUGUUUUGGCUCCAGUUUCAGUAGAUAAUUAUAGCAUUUAAUAGGACAUCAAGCUAAUUAAAAGAAUAAAGUAAAAGAUAUACAUCAUUUCCGAGUACCUUAUAUUGUUUGAGUCCUUUGGAUGUACUGCUUUGGUUGGCUUUGCACUAUAACAAUCGAAUCACUAUGUUUUGCAAAAACAUAAUGUAAAGGAUUGUAUUAAUAGUGCACCAUAACACCAUAUCAUUUCAAUGUUAAAUGUUUGAGUUUUAGGAUAGACAAAUCUAUAUCCGUUUACUUCUGAUUUAAAAUCAUAAUGUGAUUUUGCCAUGCUUCUAGCAUUCUCAUAACUCAGAGAUUCUAAAUUUAAACUAGAAAAUGCUAGCUCACACUCAAAAUUGGUCACAAAAGCAGUUUUAGCUGAAAAUUUGAAACUGGCACACUUUCGAACAGUUUUGACUGGAAGUGGAAAAUCCCAACAUGCCUGGCCCCUGCAAGACAAUCUAAUGAAGACAUUCUAUCAUUCUCACUAAUGAUUCCAAACCUAAUAUAUAAAUAAAUUUAGUAUACCUAUUGCUUGAAAGUUUUAUUUCACUGCACAGAGUUCUUUCCAUCACCAAAAAAUCUCUUAUUAACCUUUCAAUGUUAAAGAAUUCUUUGUUAGAGAACACCAAUGUAUAUUAUUGACCUUGACCAUUAUCACACUAAUUUUGCUACUUCCUCCAGGAAAAAGUUAUGGGAAUGGUUUUACUAACUCCAGCUUAAAAAAAAAAAAACUAUCAGAAAUGCUCGAGCAAACAAGAAAUUAAUCACAAAUCAAACUCAAAACAAGGCAAUAUAAACUAGGCAAGAUAUUUGACGUUGUUGAGUAGGAUUUUGGGUCCAAUAAAGUCAUUAUUGCCAAUAUCCAAGCAAAUCUGAGUAGGAUACAGUUUUACUCUGCUAACACCUAAAUCCAGGAAAGUAAAAUCAGGGACAUGGCAACCAACCGUAUCCCAUAUCUGCAACUUUAUGGGUUUGUUGUCAAUUGUAAUCAUCCUAGCCCCAAAUUCAACACCAAUGGUCAAGUCAUGAACAGGUUGGAAUCGUUUGUCUGUGAACUGCAACAGAAGGCAUGAUUUCCCAACUCCUGUGGAUGAAAGAAAACAGAAAAGAAAAGAAGAGAUACAUGGUCACAUCAUGGAAUACGAAAUGUAAUACGAAAAAUAUUCAAUAAAUCCAGUUCUUUGGAAUAUAUAACGCAACACAAGAAAACCUGACAGACUAAUGAGGCAGGACCACCGAAGUCUGAAUCAUAUCCACGAUUUCUGUAUCAAGGACUUGGGCGUCCAUAGAAAACGUAACCAAUCCAUGCAAAUCAAAUUAUUUUCACAUAGUUCAUAGAAUAAAACAUAUCAACAAAUCCAGAUCCAUAUUCUUACCAGGUUACUGAUCCACAGAAACACACAUACCAAAAAAAAGAAACAAGUAAUUCCGGAACACCAAAAUUACAUAUAAGUCGGCAUAAAAAAUGAUUAAAUAGCGACCCCCAUGGCAUCAAUCCUCCCAAUUAACAUCGACAUCAACUCCAAAUAAACCUAAAAAAACCUAAAAAGGGAUGGAUUACCCGUGUCUCCGAUGAUGAUGUACUUGAAGAGGUAGGCGUACGACAUAUCUCCUCCCAAACCCCAAUCCAAGAUUUUCCUGCUCCGAUCAAAAGAAAGGUACAACGAAAUCAAAGGGAGAGGAACUAAGGGGUUUGAGGAAGGAUGGGUGGGAACGAAGCAAAGGAAAGAAGAGGAUGAGGAAAUGGAAUCGGGUCGCGAGGGAGUUCUCGACGCGUUUGCCUUAAUUUAUAAAGAGAGAGGACCUCGCCGUCCCUUGCGCCGACCGUACGCGAAAUUGGCAAGGCACGCCGCUUUUAACUCGCUGAGUUGACUCAUGGCCCUUUUUUAAGCUUUUAGAUCUUUUGCUGCUCCAGAUUUUGUCCGCCCAGUAAAUCUUAUUAGAUUGAUGAAUUGGACUAAUACAAUCAACUAGAUAAUAAAAUUACAGACAAGGCCAUAUCAUCCAGACUUGACCAAAUCUAUUUCACCUAUUAUUCCUAUUAAUGGUUUGAGAUAAAAAUGAUACAAGUAAACUGGUGGCGAUAUAUUUAAUUUACAGCCCCCUAGCCCACGAUGGAAUCAGGAUUUUGUUCAUGGUUACAAUAUAUGCUUAAAUUGGUUCUUUUUGGCUUUUUUAGUAAUAAAAGUAGUUGAAGAUUAUAUUAACAUAAGAUCUAGUCUUAAUACAAUAAUGUAGAUAAAAAGAGAAACAAGAAAGGUAUAACACAUACAGCAAUAACAGAACAGCCAUAUAUAAGUCUCAAAUCCAACAAACCAAAGUAUUGGUACAUGCUGGAAGAUAUCAGACAAAGCAUUUAACCAUUUGAUAAGCAGCAGUGCAAAACUGAGUGGAUGUAAAUUUUGAUAAGCAAAGCUCUGUAGCACGAAAAUGCCCUUCUGAGAAGCAAUAUAAGCUAAGACGAUAUGGAAACUCUCAUUGCUUUUUUUUUUUUUUUGGUUAGAAAAAAACUCCAAAUGCUUAAAAGUGGUUCCAGGCUUGCAUUAUAAUUAACAAAGUAAAAGCAGCUGAAUACCAAUCAACCUUGUUGAUAUUAACAAUGAUGCUAAUAUUGUUUGCGUGGAUAGAAAACCCCAUAAGUAUCAGCAUCUGAUAAAAAAGGAUCCUUAUAUGAUAUUUCAGGAGGUUGACAUAUGCAUAGAUAAUUUUGUUGCAGAAAUCAACACCAUUGAUCUGUGGAAUGGUAAAGACCACAACUGUUGAGGUAAUCCCAAAACAAAAGCGCUCGCUCUAAAGCCCUCGGCAUAUGGCAACACAAUGAGGUAAAGUAUAUGUUGACAAAAUAAGAUUGCUUCCAUGAUAGCAUCAGCAUUUAUAAACUCAAUUAGGUGGCAUGUGCUUCCUUUAUAUAUAAUGUUGAUCCUUGCGUGGCUAUGACUGCUGGAGAUAAAGGAUGUAUUAUCCGUAUCUAUGAUAGUAAGCUAAUUGAACCAAUAUCAAGAUAAAAUAUGUCCCAGUAAAACAGGAUUUUUUUUGCAUCAAGAAUCAUAGUAGAUCGCGGCAAUAAUGGAAUGCAAGAAAGUUGGAAAUUAGUGCCAAAAUGCGAUGAUAGAAUGAGCAAAUAUAACUAGUCCUCCCAACAGAUUAUGAAGCCAAAUUUAGCAGUUAUAAUAGCCAUGCCGAGGGGGUGGAUGCACACUAAUGCUGACAAAGAAGGCUUUGUAUGAAAAGGAGGAUGCAACGUAUUUAUAAUAGUAUGCUUUCCAAAAACAAAUAAGAUAGUUUUAUAAGUCCCAUAGGUGGGGAGCAAGCUGGCAUUAACAACAAGAAUAAGUAUGCAAAGGAAACAGUUCCUUGUAGUUGCCAAUAGACAAUUCUUUGUAGUUGCCAAUAAGAAGAGAUGCAUGAUAAGAUGAGCCUAAAAAUAUGAUAGGAUUGCUCUAGCCACUUCUAAUGAAGGUAUUGUGAUUUGCAUCGGCAUCCAAAAUACAAGUAAAUUGAGGGUGGAUCUUGUCUCCCUUAUGGAGGAAGAAAUCCCCCUAGAGAGCAUGAUCAGCAGCCCAAUUAGCUGCUUGAUUACCCUCCCUACGGAUGUGUUGGGCCUAAAUGACUGUGCAAGAAUGACACCAAAUUUUAAUAUCCUUCAGCCAAGGAGGCCCAACCAAGCACCAAGCAGUUCCGCAUAUGGGACAGCACGGUAUGCUAACCGUUUUCCACUUGCAAAUAGCAUGUCCCCUUCAUGGUUUUGAAUAACAAAGCUAGCUGCAGCUAUAACAGUUUACACAGUUCCAUCAGUAAUAGCACUCCAAAGGGUGGGGGUAUCUAGGAAACUAAAUUGAUUCUUUUGGUGAAACAAGUCUGCAUGCAUUGUGCGAGCUGAAUAUUCCAUCUCUGCAUAACGAAGCAUCAAAUCUAAUCAACAUGGACCAAUCUAUUAAUUGGAAAAGUGUUAUAAUUUACAUAAUGUCUACAUAGGUUUUAUCAAGUGCUUUUGCUUGAUCCAGAUGGUUGAGCCACAAGCUAGGUAAAAAUAAUAUAUAAAUUUAGAAAUGUAAUGUGAAAAGAAUGCCGAUGAUGCAUUUGUGAUGAUGCAAAUGGGUCUGCCAGCGGAUGAAUACUUAUUUCGGCUGGAUCUAAUGGGACAUUUUGAAUAAACAGGUGGAAAAUUCUUUGUGCACUACACGCGGCAUAGAAAAUCUGACGUGGAACAUAUCAUUUUAUCUAAUUGAUUUAUAUAGUCAUCACUUUUCAAUACAUAUUUAACAUCUAUAAUUUUAUUUUUUAUUUAAAAUUUUAAAUGAUGAAAAUAUUUUUUUAAAAAAAUUAUUAUAUCCUACAUUCAUAUUAUGACAUCCUGCAUUUAGAGAAUCAUAAUUUUUGUUCACAGGAUAUCAUAAUAUGUACAGGAUGUCAUAAUUUUUUUUAAAGAAUAAGAGCAUUUUCGUUAUUCAAAAUUUUUAAAUGAAAAAAUAAAAUUGCAGGUAUUAAAUGCAUAUUGAAAAGUAGUUGAAUAAAAAUGUUCCUUUCAUAUUAUGAUAUCCUGAACCAUAUUAUAACAUGCUGGAUCAUAUUAUAAUAUUUUGGAUCAUAUUAUGACAUUCUGUAUGCAGAAAAUCAUAAUUUGAUGUAGCAUGUCAUAAUUUUUUAGACCACAUUAUGACAUCAUAUAUAUAUAAAAUUAUAAUAUAUCACAGAAUGUCAUAAUUUUUUUUAAAAGAUAGAUAUUUUUGUUAUAUAAAAUUUUUAAAUAAAAAAUAAAAUUAUAAUAUUAAAUAUAUAUUAAAAAAUAAUGAUUAUAUACAUCAAUUAGAUAUACUUGGCAUCGAAUUUUUUAAAAAAAUUUCUCGUAACGGUCUUUCACGACAUGGACUACUUGGGCUUUCCCAAGAGACUUUUAGACUAACCUUCUGUACUAGCAUGCAACAUUUGCACAGUCUCCAUGAUUGUGGUCUGAGCUCUCACAGUCUCCAUGAUCGGCUCCGUCAUGGAGUUGUAAACACACAGGAUAAAGUUGCUAGAAAAGAUAUGCUAUAUUUCAGUAAAACUAUCAUAAGUUUGAAUUUCAAUACUCUAAUUUCAUCUCCUUCUCUCUUUUUUUUUUUUCUUCUUUUUCUUGAAAAAUCCUUUCCACUUCUGCUACGAUAAAAAACUUUUUUUUAACAAAAAAACUAAUUUUUAUUUAAAAUUUUAAUCUCAAUUUAAAUAAUUUUAGCUGUUUAAAUUUUUUUAAUUUAGAGAGAGAAGGAGAGAGAAGAAAAUAAAAUUUUGAUGCUUAAAGAAAAAAAAAAAAAUGAACUCUACUCCUAUUUUUUUAGGGAGACAAGUUUCUAGCACCCUCUAUCCCUCUUCAAUCUGCAGCCAUAAUGAAUCUAUCUAAUCUCUCCUUAAAAUUUGUAUAUAUUUUUUAUACAUGUAUAUAUCUACAUAUGUAUCAAAGUAUACAUAUACAUAUAUUUUUUAAGUAAUAUGCAUUGCAAGUUUCUUAUUGCUUUACAUAACAAAAAGAAGUGAGAGGUGAAGUUACACUCCUCCAGUAAUUGUAGAACCAAAUAAGAAAAGGAGUACUUAUUUGUGGACUAGCCGGUUGCACGUGCGACGAAGAGGACCAUGUCUGAUGGUUGAGCACCACAGGACUCAUCCAACUUUCCUCACAAAUUCUGGCCAACCUUUAUAGAAUGGUGAUCAACCAUAAUGUGCAAAAUUUCAUCACGAGAACCUUGGCCAAAUUUGGACAAAAAAUUAAGAUUUUAGGUGCAUACAUGUUGUUGCGGCCAAUCCCCUCGUCGUCUGGUCGCCGGGAGCAAGCACCUGUAAAAGAAGUCCGCACUGAUCGGAGGUGACUCCGGCGGGGACCCUCCGACGGUCAAGCCAGAGAGGAGACUAGGCAACAGUAGAAAAGAAUCAAGGAGCUCAGCGAGAGAGGGAGCUAGAGAGGAAGAGUUCAGGGGUUUUGAAAAAGAACCUCUUUCAGCACUGUUGCCUUUCCCGUUUUAUAGUAGAGCGCGGCAUGAUGCCGUCAUUAAUGGCGCGACAAUGGGAGAGUUGUCAAAUCGCCGAAGACUGUCAGAAUCGCCGUAGAGCUGUUAAGUCGCUGUGGGACUGUCAAAUCACUAGGGUUGACCCAUGCCUUAGGUGGGACAAUGUCCCAAGGCGGCUACUCCGCACGCCUUUGUCAGGGUGGCGGCCCAUAGCAGUCGUACGGUAUUCGGGGGAGCCGACCGACUGCAUAUCGACGUCUGGUUGCGGAAUGUCGGGUGAAAACCCAGGGACCCUCCGAUGGUCAGUCGGGCGCGUUGCGGGAGUCGGAUAUCAGACUUCGCAGUUCGGCCAGUCGGGAAUGGAGAGGGUCUGCCCGAUCGACGUAUACUCAGUCGGUCGGUGUCGGCAAUCGUCGGUCGGUAGAGUCAGGCGCUGGUCAGACGAGCCCGAUGGUGAGUCGGCAUGAGGAAGAUCGGUCGGUAUAUCCCAACAGUUGCCCCCCCCACUCCUGAGUCGGAUGGUGUGCUGGCCAGCGUCUUUGCGUGGGCGGCAGCAUCGGGCGAAAGGAGUGGAUAUUCAUCGCAUUAAGUCCUGACUCUGACGACCGUACCGUUGGUUGGUCCGGUGUCAGGCAUCUUAUGAGUGUCGGGUGACUCGUCGGUGUCAGACGUUCCGUCCCAUCGGUGUCAGGCGUCUCGUCCUGUCGGUGUCGGACGUCUCAUCCUGUCGGUGUCAGGCAUCUCGUCGGGAAUGGAAACUGUCGUUUCCGCCGUCUCUUCGAGAACGCGAAACGCCACGGCCUUUCCGUCGCGUGGCAGGUGGCCAUUGGGCCGGGUCCGCCCAAGCGGAUGGAGGUGACGUGGCUCGAUCUGAGGGCAGGUGCGUCGAACCGUCGGGCCAAAGGAGGGCCCAGAUGUCAUUACGUGUCACGAUCUGAGAGAUCCUCGCUGGUCGUGCUUUCAUCUCAGCCGUCGGGGGGCACUAUAUAUACAGGGUCACCUGCAUCCAGACUUUCACUUUCCUAACUUGCUGUCAAGACUCCGGUUGAGUGGUCCCUUGCCUCAGGUAAUCUUUUUCCUUAGGAGCCUUCAUCAUUGUCCUUCAUCUUCCUCCUUGCUUCCUCGUAGUCCUCUUCCUUCUUCUCCUUGUUCUUUGACUUCUGUUCCAGCGUAAUGGCUAGAACAUCUCCACGAGGAAGUCGGUCGGGGAACCCGACUGACGAUUCUCGGUCGACCCCAGAGGUGGAGGUCUCUUCACUUUCGGGGCCGAACGUUGAUCGACUCCGGGAGCAGUACUGCAUCCCGGAGCAGUUUCAGCUGUUCGCCCCUAGGGCCGACGGUCGGGUUAAUAAUCCGCCCGCGGGCCAGGUGGCCUUUUACGUCGAGAACCUCCGGACCGGUCUUCGCUUCCCGAUUCUGGAGUUCGUCCGAAACAUGCUGGACUACUACGGGCUGUGUCCGGCGCAGCUUGUGUCAAACUCGGUUCGGCUGGUAGUCAGCUUUGCUCUGUUGUGUCGGCUUUUGCCGACCAACCCUCGCCUUUCACUCUUUCGAGCUUUUUUUGUUCUCCGACCCCACCCUAAAGCCCGAGGGUGGUGGUAUUUCAAUCCUCGGAAGGGUCUCUCCUUUAUUAUCGGUCUUCCAUCGUCGAUUCAUGGAUGGAAGAACAAAUUCUUCUUCGUCUCUUCUUCCGUUCCUUGGAGGUUUCCUACCCGUUGGGGGGACCUCCGAACCCAACCAAACGAGAACAGUCGGGUGGAGGUCGGGGACCGGGAAGAUUUUCACCGUCUGAAGGAUAUCUCGGUGUCGAAGCAGAAGGAGCUCGUCAUCGAGCAGGCCCUGUACGACGCCGGUCUCAGCUCGGUGCCCCGCCUAGGUCUGUUCUGUUGUUGUUGUUUUUUUUUUUCGAUGCUGAUUCUCUGUCGUCGUUGCAGAUAUGCCGCUAAGGAUGAGGUUGAUGGCAGCCGACAUCCGAAAGCACGCGGCAUGAAAGAGGCCGGUGCAAGGGGCCGAACCAUCGCGGCCUCCCAAGAGGCCUCAGGUUGCUCCGCUGAGCGAGCCGGCUGGGGUGGAGGCAGAGUUCGAACGGGCAUUGGACUGGGAGCCGGUCAUUGCACUGUCGGUGCCGACAGUGCCCGUUGAAGUCCCGUCCGAGGAACCAUCGGUCGAGGGGGCAGCCUCGCCCGAGGGACGGGCGGCCGAGGAAUCGGUCGAGGGUGUGCCGGCUGCUCGACCGACAGAAGAAGUUCGGGAAGAGGCGUGCGAGCUCGAACAACCUGCAUCGGCGGCUGCCGCACCUUCGGGAGGGACCCAGUCGGGCUCGAGCAUGCCCUCCCUUUCCGACGUCAGGGCCUGGGUGUCCGCACGGGGGAAGGCCCCGAUGGCAUCCGUUGACGACAGGAGGUCGGCCGGUGGCGGAGCGUCGACCGACUCCCUAUUUUUCGAAGGGGCGUCAGCCCUGGCCAACCACGACUUGGCCAGGAGGCUAUGCCAGGCGCUCAUCCUUCCGACCGACGUCGAGGUCAUGAAGAAUCAGCGGAUAUCUGACAUGCUGUCCUCCUUCUAUCCGACUAUGAUCCGGGUAAGUCUUCCUCCUUUUCGCUUUCGUUAUCGUUUUUCAUAAGUUCGAUCUUCUGACGGUCGGCUUUGUUUUUUGCAGCUGAUUUAUAACAUAUCCGAGCUGGAGGCCGGAUAUCGAAGGUUCAACGAUCUGCGCGCGGCCUGGAAGGAUAAGGCCAUGGCUGCCGAGGCCGAUAAGGUCAUACUGGUCGACCAGCUGCAGCAGUCGGUCGACCGGGAGGCCCAGUUUGAGGGGGAGAUCUCCCAUCUCACCGAGGAGGUCUCCCGACUCACAGGCGCUCUGGCCGCUUCGGGGACCGAGUUGCAGUCGGGCUGGGAUGACGCCAAGCGGAAGUGCCGCACCGUUCGUCGGCUGCGUCAUGAGCGGGACGACUUUGCCAAGGAACUCAAGGCCGAACGCGAGAAGCUCCGAAUAAGCUUAGGGAACCUCGCUAAGGCUGAAGAGAACCUGUCCACCGCUCAGACCGACACGGACAUAGCAAGGGCGGAGGCGGAGUCGGCGAAGGAAGCCAUGGGUCGGGCUGUGGAGGACUUCCGCGACUCCGAGGAGUACCGGGAGGAACUUCUGGAGAGCGGCUUCCUCUCGUACCGAGUGGGGUACGAGGAUGCUCGAGAAACCGUCCGGAGCUUGUAUCCGGAGCUCAACCUCGGUAGCAUCGUCCCGCCAGAGUCGGAGGCCCAAGCUGCGGAGGAGAUGGCCGACCCGUCGUCGGGGGAUCGCACCACCGUAGUGAAAGUCGAAGCCGACGCAGACCAGGCCGCCGAAGGUCAGGCGGCUUCGACUCCUGAAGCGGCCCCGACCCCUGAAGCCCAAGUGGAUGCACCGACUGCCCCCAAUCUUCGCCCGGUGGAGGAAGCCGACUCCAGGGAUUAGUCGGUCUUUUAUUUUUACUUUUGUUCAGCAUACUUGUAAUCGGGCUUCGGCCUAAUUUUGUAAACUUAGCUCACGCUUUAAUGAAAUCAAAAUCUUUUUAAUUUUGACUUUUUCUUCUGUCUCUAUGUAUCCUGGGAUGUGUCUUGUGUGAUUCGUCGAAAUGCUUUUGAACGCAUAAGUCGUAAGCUCGACGUAUUAGUUAGGACGUUCGGUAGGACCCUAGGUAACGAUCCGGAAUAGUCGGUAGUGCGUGCCAUGGCAAAGGCAGAGCGAACCCCGACUUUAGAUUAGCCUCCCGACUGUCGUAUGACCCGACAGUCGAGAGCUUGAGUCGAACGCCCGUUGCCCAGACGUGAGUCAGGCGUGUUCGUCGAGUCGAAGGUCGACCGACCUCCGGACAUAGCUUGAUGGCCGGACCAUUCCGUAGGACCCGAUAGUCGAAUGUCGUCCGACGCGUUCAGUCGGAUGGCGUCCGACGCAUUCAGUCGGAUGGCGUCCGACGCAUUCAGUCAGAAAAAUGAUGACAAGUCGAGUUCCCAUUACCCAGACCUGGGUCGGGUACAUACGUCGCACCAUGUGAUAAACGGUGGCAAGCCGAAUAUCCUUCGAUCGAUCGUGACCUGGUCGGUAAGUUGCGAAUGCGACAUUGGUCGCAUUGGCAUUUUGCCUUUCUUGGUCGGGGCCAAGUCGGCAAGUUAGUUGGUCAUUUCGCCUGAGAGUUUGACUGUAGAUGGAGUGCGACUCCCGUCGUUAUGAAUAUAUCGAUCCUCGUAAGUAUCCGAUGUGUCGUUGGCGAUUGGGCCGUUGAUUUUCGAUGGAACGUUGGGUCCAAGUCGGGGCAUCGGGGCUCGUACUUCUGGCGAGCGCCGACCCUCAGUCGAAGAGUCGAGAUUCCAGACUCCAAAAUUUUAAAACUAAAUUUGUAUUCCGGACGAGGGGAUACAAAGUUCACUGGUAGUACAACCUCAGAUUGUCGGCAUUUCAAGUCUGGAGAAUAGCGCCUCCUUCUAGAGUCUCCAGUCGGUAAGCUCUCGGCCCGUAGGUGUCCGCUAUCUUGUAGGGUUCUUCCCAGUUCGGAGCUAACUUUUCCUGGUCUAGAGGCUUCGAAACUUCUGCCUUUCUUAAGACUAGGUCCCCAGGCCUGAAAAGUUUCGGCUUGACCUUAGUGUUGUAGUAUCGGGCUACUCUCUGUCGGUAAGAAGCCAUGCGAAGUUGAGCCUCACACCGGAGUUCGGGUAUGAGGUCCAGGUCGGUUCUCCGACACUCAGAGUUAUCCGGCUCUUGGUACUGCUCGACUCUAGUCGAUAGUAGCCCGAUCUCGAGUGGUAUCGUCACCUCCAUCCCAUAGGCCAAGCUGAAAGGAGAUUCUCCGAUUGGGACACGGGGUGUCGUUCGGUACGUCUAUAGGAUAGAAUUCAACUCCUCGACCUAGAGGCCUUUGGCUUCAUUCAGUCGGGUUUUAAAUCCAUGUAGAAUGGUUCGGUUGGUUACUUUUACUUCGCCGUUGGACUGUAGAUGUCCGACUGAGGUCAGCCUGUGCGCGAUAUGAAAUCUCGCACAGAAGUUUCUGAAGUCCUGGUUGUCGAAUUGUCGUCCAUUGUCGGUGAUAAUGGUGUGCGGUAAUCCGAACAUGAAGAUGAUGGACUUCUGGACGAAGUCUUCCAUCUUUCGCUCGGUGAUUUACGCCAGAGGUUCGGCUUCCACCCACUUAGUGAAGUAGUCGAUUGCGAUGACUAUGAACUUCCUCUGGUCAGAUGCNNNNNNNNNNNNNNNNNNNNNNNGUUGUAUGUUGGCGUACCUCUGGCACGGCUCACACCUCCGAACCAACUCAGCUGCAUCCUUUCUCAUAGUAGGCCAGUAGUAAUCCUGUCGUAGGACUUUGUAGGCCAAAGAUUUGCCCCCCAAGUGAUUUCUGUAGAUCUCUUCGUGUACUUCUCUGAGUGCGUAGUCCGCAUCGAUCGGUCCCAAGCAUCUGAGCAAGGGGAGGGAGAACGAUCUUUUGUAGAGUCGGCCAUCCAUUAUCAUGUAUUGGGAGGCCGACUGUCGGAGCCGUUUGGCCUCCGUGGGGUCUUCAGGGCUAAUUUCGUCAGUCAGGUAUCGAACAAUCGGAUCCAUCCAGCUUGGUUCGGCCGCUAGUUGUAGCACCUCUUCGGCCCUGUCGAUGCUCGACUGCUCGAGAUUCUCCACGAACGUCCGACCCAAGGCGUCGUAAACUGAAGUCGCAAGCCUGGAGAGUGCAUCGGCCCGAACGUUCUCCGACCUAGGGAUGUGGGAGAUCUUGAAAUAUUCGAGGCGUGCCACGAGAUCUUUCACCUUUUGGAGAUAUUUUGCCAUAGUCGGGUCUCACGCCUCGAAUUCGCCCUUGACUUGCCCCACGAUCAGCUGGGAGUCGGAGAAGACUCUGAGACUGUCGAUCCCAAGCUCCUUCGCCAUCCUCAAGCUAGCGAGGAGCACCUCAUACUCGGCUUGAUUGUUGGAGGCUUUAAAGUCGAAUCGGAGGGCGUACUCAGUGACCACCCCCUCUGAGUUGGUGAGCAGGAACUCGGCCCUGCUCUCUCGAGCAUUGGAAGCUCCAUCGAUGUGCAGCACCCAGAUAGACCCGGGGUCAGGCUCCGAGCUUGCAACUUCUCUGGGGUUUCCGCCUUCCGACCCUUGGUCGGUUGUCGGGCACUCCGCAAUAAAGUCGGUCAGGACCUGGGCCUUCAAGGCAGGUCACGGUUGGUACUGAAUGUCGAACUCACUGAGCCUCAUUGCCCAUUUUGCCAGUCAUCCCGAUGUGUCGGGGCGGCGCAAUAUCGCCCUCAAGGGCUGGUCGGUGAGGACCACGAUGGCGUGCACUUGAAAAUACGGACGGAGUCGUUNNNNNNNNNNNNNNNNNNNNCCGAGCUUCAGCACCUUGGAGCACUUUGCUGGUGUAGUAUAUAGGUUGAUGGAUUCGGCUCUCGUUCUCUCGGACGAGCACCGAGCUAAUCGUCUCAGGGAAAGUGGCCAAAUAGAGGUACAGCAUCUCUCUGACUUCCGGCUUCGCAAGCAGUGGCGGAGAGGCCAGGUACCUUUUUAGGUCCUCAAAGGCCCGCCGGCACUCAUCCGACCAAAAGAAGUCCUUCACUUGUCUCAAGAUUUUGAAGAACGGGAGGCAUCUUUCAGCCGAUCGAGAGAUGAAUCGGUUGAGUACGAUGAUUCUUCCGUUCAGCUGCUGGACCUCCUUCUUGGUGUCUGGGUGCCGCAUGUCGAUGAUUGCCUUUAUUUUCUCAGGGUUAGCCUCGAUUCCUCGUUGAGAAACGAGGAACCCGAGGAACUUCUCCGAAGUCACCCCGAAGGCGCACUUAGUCAGAUUCAGCCUCAUCUGGUGUUGUCGCAGAGUGCGAAAAGUUUCUUCAAGAUCUCGAACAUGAUCUGUAGUCUGCGCACUCUUUACCAGUAUGUCAUCCACAUACAUCUCCAUGUUGCGCCCGAUUUGAUCUUUGAAGACCUUAUUGACGAGUCGCUGGUAAGUGGCUCUGGCGUUCUUCAGUCCGAAGGGCAUUACUCUGUAGCAGUAGAGGCCCUUGGCGGUCACGAAGGCGGUGUGCUACUUGUCUUCGGGUGCCAUCCGGAUCUGAUUGUAUCCGACAAAAGCAUCCAUGAAGCUAAGCAGUCGAUAGCCGGACGUUGCGUCUACCAGCUGGUCGAUUUUCGGGAGUGGAAAGCUGUCCUUCGGGCAGACGCGGUUUAGGUCGGUAUAGUCGAUGCAGAUCCUCCAGCUCCCGUUGGCUUUUUUCACCAUAACAAUAUUGACGAGCCAAUCGGGGUAUGUAGUUUCUCUAAUGAAGCCUGCCUCGAGUAGUUUGUCCACUUCCUCGUCAAUGGCCUUCUGUCUUUCGGGAGUAAAAAACUACUUCUUCUGCCUCACCGGCCUCAUUGUUGGGUCGAUGUUGAGUCAGUGAGUCAUCGUCUCCGAAGGGAUGCCCGACAUAUCCGCUGCCGACCAAGCGAAUACGUCGGCACUGGCCUUCAGCAACUCCACUAGCUGCCGUCGCUCGGGGUCGGAUAAUUGAGACCCGACCCAGACCACUCGUUCGGGAUUCUCCGUUAUCGGGAUGGGAACAAGUUGUUCGGUCGGUUCAUCCCGUUCUUCUUCUUCCCGUUGGUCCAACUUGUCGACCGUCAGGAUUCCCUUCAAUUCGUUGCUUUGAGCAGAGAUCUGAAAGCAUCGUCGAGCGAGCUGUUGAUCCCCGCACAUCUCUCUGACUCUAUUUUUGGUUGGAAACUGAACCAACAGAUGAUACGUCGAGACUAUCACCCUGAGGGCGUUUAAUCCGAGCCUUCCAAGUAUGGCGUUAUAGGCCGAAGUACUUGGACGACCGCAAAGGUCAAGUGGACUAUGCUUUGUCGUGGUUCGGUUCCAGCCGUCACGGGCAAAGUAACUUCCCCUUCCACCGUGACAGCAUCUCCAGCAAAGCCUAUCAGGGGUGUAGAGACUCUCUUGAGCCGGUCAGCCGACAGUUGCAUUCGGGAGAAGGUCGAGUAAAACAAAACAUUCGUCGAACUUUCAUUAUCAACAAAGAUCCUUCUUACAUCAUAAUUGGCUAUUGUUGCCGAAACAACAACAGCGUCAUCAUGGAGAGUUUGGAUACCCCGAACAUCUUCAUCUGUGAAAGUAAUUACAUUAUCUUGGCGCAGCUUCUUCAUCGGCUCCCCUCCAGCAGUUAUCCCCGGGCCCAGUCGUUUGGAGAUCAUGUUGAUGACCCGGUCGUAGGCUGGUUAUUCGUUGCUUCUUCAGUCGGCUGGGGUCGUCGAUCGGUGACGGGUCGAGUCGGUGAGUUCCUCCAAAAUUUAUCGAGAUACCCUCGGUGUAUGAGGGCCUCGACCUCAUCCUUGAGUUGGAUGCACUGCUCGGUGUUGUGGCCAUGGCCCCGAUGAAAUCGGCAGUACUUUCGUCGGUCGAGGCCCUUUGCCUUCAAAGGCGGAGGCCAUCGUAGAUAUUCCUCCCCUUCGAUCUCCAUCAAAAUCUGCGCAUGAGGAGCAGAGAGAGGAGUAUAGGAGUCAUACCUGGGAUGCGUCGGCCUCAGACUCCGCCGUCGAGGCGACCUCUGGCUCCGUCGCUGGGGUGAGACCUGUUUGUCGGUCAGGAGCCUGCUAGGCUCGGCAGGGGCCCGACCCUUCCUUUGCUUCUCCUUCGGGCCCUUGGCCUCAGUCAAGCGUCGAUCGGAAGCUCCUUCGUCCGCGUGCAUGUACUUGUACGCACACUCCAGUAGUUCGACGUANNNNNNNNNNNNNNNNNNNNUCGCACCACGAAGUGUCGGAGCGUCUCAUUUUCUCUCUGUUUGAGAGAAAAGAGACUGUCCGAGGUUCGUGACGGUUUCCGACUGGUGCUGAAGUGGGCCACGAAAGAAUGCUCAAGCUGCCCAAAGGAGUGAAUACUUUCUGGGUGAAGGUCGGAAUAUCAGGCCCUGGUAGCUUUGCGAAGUGUGACGGGGAAGCCGAUGCAGAGAAGAGCGUUGGUCGCCCUUUAAAUCAUCAUGAGAGCCUUGUAGCUCUCCAAGUAGUCAACUGGGUCAGUGGAGCCGUCAUAGGGCUCCACAUGGGGCAUCUUGAACCGACUAGGAAUCGGCUCGUCGAGGAUGAGUCGGGAGAGAGAUUGGGCAGUCUGAAAGUCAAUGUCGUUCGAGGACUUCUGUCCAUCCACCUGCAGCUGGGCAAGCCGACGGUCGAUUUCUUCGAACCUACGUUCGUAGUCGUUGGCCCGCCGAUGCUGAGAGACCCCGGGAGUGGAGUCUCCCGACGAAUCUGAGAGGGAGGCAGACGGUGUUCGCGGCCGCUUCUCCUUCCUUGCUCAUUCCAGCUGGGAAGGAGACGGUUGUCGAGACCGAUGGGUAUCACGCCGUGGCCGCCCCUCCUCCUCUCUGUGGGAGUGCUGUGAUAACUGCUCCUGAAGAGAAGACGGAGACCGACGCGGGCGUCGGUAGCUGCUCCUGGAGGGUAUCAGGUGUGCCACCGGCUGCCCCGCCGGCGAGUGCGGCAACCGGGUUGGCUGUUGUUGAAGGCUCUUGACCGCAUCCGUCAGUACGGUCAUCUGCCGCACAAUCGCUGCAAUCUGCACCUCCGUGGUCACAAUAGGAUGCGGAGAGCUAGGUUCCGCCAUGGAGGGUGGAGGAGAGGCCUUUUCCCGGUGGGAAGAGUGCCUCGCCGAUCCGGUGGCCCUCGACCGUUGAGCUCUGGUUCUUGUCAUCUCGAAAGGAUGUUUCGAGUUCUGUGGGGGUCGUAAUCUCUGUCGAGCCCCCCUACCUGGUGCGCCAAACCUGUUGCGGCCAAUCCCCUCGUCGCCUGGUUGCCGGAAGCGAGUGCCUGCAAAAGAAGUCCGCACUGAUCGGAGGUGACUCCGGCGGGGACCCUCCGACGGUCAAGUCAGAGAGGAGACUAGGCAACAGUAGAAAAGAAUCAAGGAGCUCAACGAGAGAGGGAGCUAGAGAGGAAGAGUUCAGGGGUUUCGAAAAGGAACCUCUUUCAGCACUGUUGCCUUCCUCGUUUUAUAGUAGAGCGCGGUAUGAUGCCGUCAUUAAUGGCGCGAUAAUGAGAGAGUUGUCAAAUCGCCGAAGACUGUCAGAAUCGUCGUGGGACUGUCAAGUCGUCGUGGGGCUGUCAAAUCACUAGGGUUGACCCAUGCCUUAGGUGGGACAAUGUCCCAGGGCGGCUACUCUGCACACCUUUGUCAGGAUGGCGGCCCACAGCAGUCGUACGACAUUCGGGGGAGCCGACCAACUGCAUAUCGACGUCUGGUUGCGGAAUGUCGGGUGAAAAUCCAGGGACCCUCCGAUGGUCAGUCGGGCGCGUUGUGGGAGUCGGAUAUCAGACUUCGCAGUUCGGCCAGUCGGGAAUAGAGAGAGUCUGCUCGACCGACGUAUACUCGGUCGGUCGGUGUCGGCAGUCGUCGGUCGGUAGAGUCGGGUGCUGGUCAGGCGGGUCCGAUGGUGAAUCGGCGUGAGGGGGACCGAUCGGUAUAUCCCAACACAUGUUUAUAAAAGGUGGGCUAAUUUUGCACAUGUUUAAUAAUGAUGGUGGCCAUAUUUCCCUCAGCAGAAUGUUGGUGAGGCAUAGAUGUGCCAAAUUUUAAUCAAAGGAACCUUGGCCCAGUUUGGAAAGGAAAUUUAGACUUUUUUUCUUUUUUGAGGGGGUAUAGGGAAAUUUAGAUUUUGGAUACAUGGUUCCAUGUAGAGUGGAAAUAAAUUUAGAUAUAGAUAUAUAUAGAAGAAUCAAUAUAAUAUAACUAUAAUAUAUACAUAUAACAAUAUUAAUAAGCUAAUACUAUUUUAAUAUUGAUAUAUGAAUGCAUAAUAUUAUAAUAUAUUAUAUUAUAUACCAAUAUAUAUUAAUAUAUUAUUAUAAUAAAAUAUAAUAAACUAAUAUAAUACUAUAAAAUAAAGGAACCAGGUAGCCUCGUUAUUUUCUAAAUCAACCUUUUCUCAUUUUUUUCACGUAACCUUUUUUUUUUUCGAGAGGCGGAGGAUGGUACAUUCACAUAAUCUCAUUUAACUCAAAUUUUUUAUCAUUCUUGAAAGUUGUCAAUCCUUAAUGGAUAUAUUUCGAUCGAACCAUCUGUACGAAAACUUUAAUAAGACAAAGAUCCUGUUUGGAUGCUUAGUCCAAGGAUAGAAAUCAUAAAAAAAAUUUUGUGCAUCGUCGACAGUGCAAAAAAUCCAUCAUGAAAUAUACUGUCUUAUCCGAUUGAUCUACAUAGUCAUCAUUUUUCAAUAUACAUUUAAUAUUCAUAAUUUUUUUAAUUUAAAAAUUUUGAAUGAUGAAAAUAUUUUUAUUUUUUAAAAAAAAUUACGACAUCCUACGACAUAUUAUGACAUCCUACGUUAUAUUAUGACAUCUUAUGUAAAAAAAUUAUAAUAUUCUAGGGCAUAUUAUGGUAUUCUGUGAUAUAUUAUGUCUUUGCAUGUAUAGAAAGUCAUAAUUUAACAUAGGAUGUCAUAAUAUGAAAGAGAUAUUUUUAUCCGAUCAUUUUUCAAUACAUAUUUAAUGUCUGUAGUUUUAAUUUUUCGUUUGAAAAUUUUGAAUGAUGAAAAUAUUUUUAUUUUUAAAAAAAUUUAUGACGCUCUAUGCAUAUUAUCAAAUCUUCUAUUAUAUUAUAAUUUUUUGUGAACAAAAAUUAUAAUUUUUUGAAUACAGAAUAUCAUAAUAUAGACAUAGAAUAUCAUAAUUUUUUUUAAAAAAUAAAAAUAUUUUUAUUAUUUAAAAUUUUAAAUAAAAAAAUAAAAUUAUAAUUAUUAAAUAUAUAUUAAAAAAUAAUAAUUAUGUAGAUCAAUGAAAUAGGAUGGUACAUUCUAUGUUGGUUUUCUGCCCCUAUCUGCGGUACAUAAAGAAUUUUCCUAGGAAUCUUUAUAGCUGUAAGGGCUUGAAUGCAGUACCAUGUUACUGAAUGAUGGCGAUUUAGGCAGGUAUAAACCUUGUUGUAUCUUUCUCUCUCUCACACUAUCCUCGAAAGUCAAAAAAAAAGGAACAGGAACCAGGGAUGGUGAGAGAACAUGAUUGCUAUGAGGUCUUGAAUGCAGUACCACGUUAUGUAAUGAUGGCGAUUUAGGCAGGUAUAAAUCUUCUUGUCUCUGUUUCACACUAGCUUCAAAGUCAAAAAAGAGGAAUCGGAAAUAGUGCCGUUGAGCAAACAUAAUAGCUAUAAGGUCUUGAAUACGGUUCCAUGUUAUGCAAUGAUGGCGAUUUAGAAGUGAGUAAAAACAAAAAAAUUAUAUAUAUCUUGGCCCAUGCAGGUCUCGAACCUGCGACCUUCGCGUUAUUAGCACGACGCUCUAACCAACUGAGCUAAUAGGCCAUUAGCGAACAUGGUCCGCUAGAUCGGAAUAUCACUUAUUAUUAUCUUGAGACAUAGCAUUCAACCUUUCCUAAUAUUUCUCUUGAAUUAGGUUGAAUUUAUCAACUUCUGAGACUCCUGCUGCAUCCAUUGUGGCUUUGAAUUCUAUCCUUCAAGUGUCCAUUUGUAGCUAAUCACCUCAGUGAGGGCAACAGGGAUGACGCAUAUUCAUGUGUUAAAUUUGGAGUCCAUUCUUACACAUAUGAUAAAAAAUCAAAGCAAGCACACAUAAAAUAGCUACAAAGGAUCCUGUUCAUUUUCUGCGUACGAAUCAAGGAAGAAUUUUGUGAUGACAAAACUGAAAAGGCUAUGUCAUAUUUUCUCUAUAUUUGUUUGUGAUGAAUAGUAUCUAUUCUUAAAGUUCAGUUGAAUCAUGCUUGCAAUAAACUGUGAAUGUGACAUCAAACAUCCACCUCUGAAGCGUAAAGAUCUUAAACAUUUUACUGCAUAAAGUUCAGUAGACUUUCAUUUCAUCUUGUUGCAUUUUAGACUUGGUUUCAUGACUUCUAAAGCAGUCAUUUAGUUACCUUGUCACUUUUGGAGGUUGAACAGAAGGACCAUCAGAGACAAUAUAUCCAAAUGGUGGCCAUUUGCAGCCCCUUUUGAUCACAAAGCUUCCCAGAUUUGGUUGUGGGUAGUCCUACAAUUUUCACUUUGAGCUUGAAACCUGCAAUUUCAUAACUCAUAAAUAUUUGACACUGGUCAUAUUGCCAUUGCAGCUUUAGCCCAUUGCCACUUUUUUUACUAGCAUAGAAUUGCUAGUGAAUUAGAGUUAAUUAGAGAUGAAGAUUUGCUGAUCUAUACAAUCUGAGAAGCUUUCUUUCAUACCCUGCAAUGUGGUCCAGCUUAACUAGCAAAACUAUUGGUUUUUAUCUUAAUUCACUUAUCCAUCGUUCUAGUUUGUCCUGUUUCUUAUUUUUCUUUUGUAUAAGAUCCGUCUUAUGAUUCCUCUAUGAAGCAAAGUGUAUAAUUAAAUAGAAAAGCAAUGAAUAUGGUAUGAUAUCAUAACACUGAUGUAAUCAUUCGAGGAUCAUCAUCAUUGCUGAUCAUCAUCCUAAUAAUUUUUUAUUUAGCAUUUCCGAUGAAAUCAUAUAUGUGAAACAUCAGAUAGGAUAAAGUUACAUCCUAUAGAUUCCUUGAAAAGCAUUUUAAAAAGUCGGAUCAAAUAAUUUCAUCUGAGACUGUUAGUUCAUUCUUGACAACUAGCGAAACAGUAUCUAGAGCUUUCUUGUAGGAUUAUUAAGUCAGUCUUGCUCCCAAGGGGGCUUUGAGAAAUAUUUUAGGUGUGAAGUAACUGUUGAUAAAAAUCAACUAGUGCUUUGAGAUCAUUGUGAAACUUUUCAUGUUUUCUUGUACACCUAGCAGGCAUUAAUAGAUCUCUGCAUUCCCCUGUGAGUUCUGUGCAUGAUAGUAAAUGGUGCCCGAUCUCUGUGGAUGAGGAACUUGUAGGUUCCAAUUGCUUAUGAGUUGCCUGCAUCUUGGCAUGCUUUCAAAAGAUAUGCUGGCGAUAUUAACUGUCUCAAGCUUCCAAUUGCGAGAAACAUGCGCAUGAAGACUUUGAGACCUCACAAUGAGGUGUGGGGGGCACCAAUCCUGCUACUGCAGAUGAUGAUUGUGUGACCUUGGCAUAGAUGACAUUAUAUCCAUGGUAUCACAAUUUGUUGCAUCAAAGUAUGUUGCUCACAUAAUGGAUGCUGAAAAAGGGAAGUCUUGCCGACAUCAUCUGAAGCAUAAAUUUUUGCAUGAGGCAUUGUUUAUGUAAAGAAAGAUCUGAAUUCUGAAGCAUGGAUACCUGGUUUGGUAAGUGUAGGAAUUGCUCAUGUACAUCACUGUUAGUUGUUGGUGGCUUUGUACACACACACACACACAAAAAGAAAAGAAAAGAAAAGCAAGACCAUUCAAAUUUUAUUGAUGUUCUUUCAUAAUAUAUUCUCUACUCAGUUUAAAAAAUGAUUAGUGAAUUUUCAACAAUUUUCUUUUUUUUUCUUUUCAGUUUUUUAAAAUCAUUAUGUAUGUUGUUGAUUUCUACCUACUUAUUAGGAUUUGUUCAAUUGCUAACGAUCUAGGUCGCUUCUAUUUAAACAGGACUAAGAAUUUUCAGUCUUACCACAUCGAUCUUAAAUUCUGAAUUUUGGACUGCCACUGGAGGGGCUUACAAACAAGGCUGCUAAAGGAGUGAGUUUGCACCUUUUGAACUGGUCCCUUUGAGGCCCACCCCAAAAUUGUGUGCAUAUGACCAUCUGAUCCCUUCAAAAUACCUGCUUGCUGGUUAGUACUGAUCCCUUAUGUUGAUAAUGUUAUUCCAGCUUUUCAUCCAAAAUGUAAUGUUAUUCCAGAUGAGUCAAUACGUCUUCUUGCAUAUGAGUGAACUAGGGAAGAAUUUUCUCAAUUUCCUAACGUCAUCUUUGUUUACAUUUUGGAGAUCUCUUGUAAUCUGAUACUAAAAUAAAAUGAUUAUUGAAUAAACAAAAUGGACAGUUUUCAAAUGGCAGAGGGAAGCAAACCAGUUCAGAGGAUAAGUUUUUUAUGUUAACAAUGCUUCCAUUACAAGCCAUCAUAUGAUUAAUGUGUGUUUUCUAAGAUUGCAAAGCAUCAUCAGCUUUUCAUAGUUUGUCUUCGUGCUGAAAGUCUUUUUGGUAGGAGGUAUGACAGAUUGCUUCUGUAAGAACAUAUUUUUUUGUCAUCUCAGCUCUACUCUCAUUAUGCAUUGGGUUCUUUCCUGUUGAUUCUUCCUGCAUGCUUCGAUGAGUUCUAGCUUAGUUAAUGAGUUAAAACGAUCCCACAGACAAGUUGGCUAUGAAAAAGAUAUGUGCACUAUGCACUUCCUAAUUUUUCUAUCAUAUAUUAUACUAUAUUAUGGAUAACAGAGCAAGCAAGACUUGAAAUCAACUGGAACAUGAUCCAAUUGAAAAUAACUGUCUAAUUACAUCCAACAACAAUGAUAAUGACGACAAUGGAAAAAAGCAAGGAGCACACAAAAAUUAUUGCAAGAUAAAUCAAGAAAGAAAAAUGAUCUUUAGUUGUAAGUUCUAAGAAUUCUUGUACCAUGCUGUUCUGGUAAUUAGUCAUGCAUCUUUAGAGUAACAACCCGACACACGAUGCAACCUCAAAUUAGCCCACAAUUGACUGCUCUUCUUAAAGUUUUUAAAAUGCCUUGCUAGGUAGCAGGAACCUCUUUCAGGCCAUGCGAUUUAAGUUGUCCGACCAUUCUGCUGAUUGGAUUAUGAAGCACCACCUUCAAGACUUGUAAUAGAAUAGUUCCUUAUUAUGUUUCAGGAAGAAGAGAGGGAGCAACAGAAGAGAAUCAAUCAAAAGCAAUGAUUUCUACGUAUCAUGUGGACAAUGGCUUCAGUAUCUUUCAAAUCAAUUAUACACAUUCUUUUUGAACUCAAUAAUGGACACCCUUCAUGGAAACAAAUCCUGUACGGUGUUUGUCUAGCAACCCAUCUAUACAUUGACAAACAUGCAACAACUAUAACUCACGCAACUGUCACCCACACGGACACAUAACUAUGCAUUGCUCUUUUUCUUAAGAAAUCUUUUCAGAAACCUUUCCAUGCAGCAAGAAUCUCUUGAAAGAUUUCAGCUAUGAGUUCUCUGUCUGCACUCUGGAGAAACACGUUGAAAUCAUCACGGAUCUCAUAAAUCUUUCCGAAGUUCACUAAGUACCUCAUGCAACUACUCUUCAGCUUUGGCAAACGAUAGAGGUAGGCAGUCUGGAGUCUUUCGAGCGCAUUCUUAGCAUCGAUGUCUUCUGUGAGGCUCUCAUGACAGGCCUCCUUGAGGUCAGAAAUGUCAUACUUAUCUGCAGCACGAAGGAGAGCAAUGCGGUGCUUGAGGAACUCAUCAGCCUGAAAAUUGCCAUAGAUGUAGUUGAGGAAGGCCUGGCAUGCCUCAAAGGACAUGUCAGAGAUGUUCACAGUAGAAAGCUCUUUCUCCUUGAGGUUGUGGGAGAACAUGCUGCGGAAGACAGGGGAUCUUGUUGCAAGAAUGGCACGAUGCGCACCGAUGCUGCCAUCAGUGGCAUUGAUCGUGAUGUCUGUGUGGAUGCCCUCUGAUAACAUUUGGCCAAGGGAUGUGAGGGCAGUAGCAAUUGAGUGUUUCUCGAUGUGGUAUCCGGUCCAGAUGGAUAAAGGUUCUCCACCCUGUGUUUCGGAACAAGGAUCAGAUUUGAUGACUAUAAUUAACAUUUAGCUUCCAUGGAGGGGGAGAGAGAGAGAGAGAGAGGAGGAGAGAGNNNNNNNNNNNNNNNNNNNNCGUAGGAGGAGGAGGAGAGAGAGAGAGAGAGAGGGAGAGAGGCAUAGAAGUCAUGGCUUUUUAGUGAGGUAAUGAGGUACGGUUUUGAAUGAUGACUAAAUCACUCCAACAAAAGAGUGGAAUGUAGAAUUACUGGACUUAUAGGGCCCAAAUAUUGUGUUAUGCCUCCAAAAGAGCAUCCUAGCCUGGAUCAAUGGGUGCCAGGAGGGUUUACUAAAUGGUGAAGUGGGAUUCUUGAGGUCAUAAGGAUUGACCAGUCCCUAUGUCCAUUUCAACUGUCAUUAAAGACUUGGACUCAUGCCCCAAUUUUACCACCAAAGCACAGGAAUAUCUGUCAAGAUUUACAACCAUUGAGAACACCUGGUCCUUAAUCAUGUUUGCAACAAGAAGGUUCUUUGGAGGGAAGAAAUAUUUAACGAUGUUUUUAAAAGAAGCACAGAAGAAAAACAUGAGCAGAAUAGAAAUUAAUGCUACUAAAACAAUUAGAUAAAGAUGGUAGAAGAUUUAUGGAGGAGUUGAGUUACUCCACUUUCUCCAAAAUCUAAAAUAAUCAGAUUAAGGAUGUUGAGUUACUGCACUUUCUCCCAUCAGCAACCAUAACAGCACUGAAGUCAUGCUACUGUUAUCCUUUGAAAUUAGGCAAAUUGAAUAGUCAAAUCCCUAAAUCCUGAUCUUGACAUCCUUUUUCGCAAAAAAUAAAAAAAAUCAAAUAAUCAGAAGGAAGGUACACCCAACUCUUUGGUCAAGAAAAAACUCGACACAGUUCUUCUAUGUUAGGUGAAUUGCUGACAGGUAGGUGUUGGUUGAAUAACAUCUCCUGACUCGGUAAGUACUGAUGAUUGGAAAAUAUCAAGAUACUAUUUAUGUAUCAUCCACAUAUCAUUAUCUUCAUUGUCUUUUUCCCAGACCUAAUGUCUGUCCAUAUGUAAAGGCAGAUAGACUUUUUUUUUUUAAGAAAAAAAAAUCAUAACAAUAUAUUUUCUACUGCAAUUAAACACAGCCUACAUGUUACUCUACAACAAAUUUUGAUAUGAUCUUUCCCUUAAAUCAUGUUGUUCUUUAGAAAUCUAUCAGAUAUUCUAUGCAAAAACUAGUGGGAUGAUAGAACAUGGAAACAUGGAGCAGUUAGGACCUUGAUAUUUGAUUACAUAUAUAUGGAAAACUUUAUAGAUGGAGAGAUUUGAGAAGUCUUCUUAUGAUGUUUAAAAUGAGGGCUUAAAUAAACAGGCAUACAGCAAAACAAGAUAACAAUACUUAUGAUCCAAAAACCUAUCUCCAAAUAAACAACAUAAAGAUUGCACAAAAGAUAUGGAGAUAGACUUGCUUACCAAAGGGGGUAUAAUCUUUAGAUCGAGGAACUCAACAUCAAUAAUGAAUCUUCCAGUAAAGAGUGUAUCAAUUGCCCAUACAAAGUCGUCGUUGUUCUUUAGCUGCUUGUCACAUACUCCUGCACUUAAAAAAUGACAGAAAUUAGAUAUUUAGCAUGUCAAACUCUGACCUAUGACAAUUCCUGUAAACAUCCAAGAGAAAGCACUAGCAAUCAAAGAGGAUGGGAGCUCCAUGCUAUUCUGCUGCAGAGUAGCAAAAGAUGAAUGGUGGCUAUUAUUGAUGCCCCGGUUUCUUCUAGGCUACAUAAACGACUUGCUGAAAUAGCUUUGCCAAAACUUACAAACAAAUAGAUGGAUACUUUUCGAUAAGAGGAAAGAGAAAGGAAGAGGGGGACCUGGGUGGACGAGGGUCCUGCGAUUAGGAGAGGAGGAGGAGAUGAGUUUGAUGAUGAAGGAGGCGAUUGGGGGCUGCUCCCUUGUUAGGGUCGACACUUCUGGGAAUAGCUUCACGUAUAGCUGCUUAUUUCUCUCUACCGUCAGAUACCUUUCCACAAUUCCCCCCAUCAAACAAACAACAAGUGAAUGAUUAAUUCUUUUGAUUGAAUCAUAAUAAUUAAGUUCUAAUUCCAGAAAGGAAAAAAGAAAUAGAUGAAGAUAAAACAUAGGAAACAUCCAAAAUAGCAAGCUUUUUUUAUUGUUUUGUAAAGAAAAAUAUGAGAAACGCGUCUGGUGCUUCCAAGAUCAAAUCUUUUGGAUACUUUCCAUGAUACUUCCUAACGGGAAGAAAACAACCACAAGCAAUUCUACGAUUCCGAAGCUCUAUAAGGUAGGAAGGAAAACCCAAAACAGGGACAGAAAGGAGCUGUUUUUUUUUUCCAAUUAUUGAUCUAAUAAUUGAAAAAAAAAAAAUUCAACUUGGUUCUUCCAAAAUCCGAACUUUCUUCACCACUUCUCCGAAAGACGAGAACUUGCUGGAAAUCCAAACAAAAAUCACUAAAAAAGUCGGAACUUUUCCUUGUUUUCGAGAUGAAAUCCGUCGGAAUACGAAAGCAAUUAUCAGGGGAUGCGAUGAGAGAGAGAGAGAGAAGGAACCAGUUCCAGAGGCCCAUCUUGAAGGGAUCGGAUUUGCGGUAGGUGCAGGAGGAGAGGGUGUCGAUCCUCCAUUGAGCCAGGCGGGGCGUGGUCUCCACCCGGUACGCCGACUCGUUCAUCCCCGCCGCCGACGAUGACGCUGCUGCCGCGAUCGCUGCCGUGACCUCAUUGAUGCAGUCGAAGAUCCCCAGCAACUCCCCUGCCUUUCCCAGGUUUGCUCCUUCCUCUUCCACUCUCUCCUCCUCCUCCCCCUCUCCUCAUGUACUCACCAAAACAAAGGAAGAAAAGAAGAAAACAAGGCGAGAACCACUGCUCCCCUCCUCGGAUAACAAUAAUGGAACUCCACGAGGACCCUUGGGGGGUUGUUAUAGAGGAAUCCACCACGCCAAGCUUAAAGAAUUGCUUCUUCUUUUUUAUUAAGCGAGAGAGAGAGAGAGAGAGAGAGAGAGGGGGGCGUGCUGCCUUUAUUUGCUUUCACUCCACUUCCAAAACUUUAUUCCACCCCUCCGGUGGAGCGCCGGAGAGGGAGAGUCCAUCCGCGAGAAAGGAAGUUGUUGAUGCAUCAGUCACCGUCCAUUUAGUAAAGAUCAAAUUCCCGACCGUCUGAUCAGUCAUUGUGGGUCUCACCUGUUGGAUGGUAGAGCUCCCCCCGACUUUUUUUUAUUUUAAAUUAGGAAUAAUCUCCGGCAUUAAUCUUGCUAGUUAAAAUGAUUACUUACGAUUACUGAAAUGUCCCUCUCCAACCCUUCAUCGGUUUUUCAAACUUGCGAGGACUUGGAGGGGAAGAGGAACGGUGUCCGUUGAAUCUGGAUCAGACGCUCAUGGAGUCAACAAACGACCUCAAAUACAGGGUAUUGGGGCUCACUAGUUUGAUAGAAAACAAGGACUAGUGUCAUGGUCCGAAUAAAUCAAGAGGGCGACCUUCCAACAAUAAAAAGGGUGCGUGUCCUUCCCGCCCGUUAUGGAUUUAAUGCUCACCUAAAUACUAGACACCUGUACCAUCCACGGAUGGCCAUGGCCAGCCAGGUGGCUAAUAGUAUCCACAAUCUAUGGGAGUCCCGCUAGAAAGAACAAAUAAUAGUGAUACCUAUAAAGAGACGAUCCAAUUUCCGGAUAACUGCAAACCAGUCCCCAUGCAACUGCAUGAUUUAGCACGUAAACGUGCCUUUGAAUUGAAGAAGAUUAAUAACGCUCUAGGUGAAAUCAAAGUAUAGAAAUCUAUUGCCUUCUAAACUCUAAAAAUAGCACUAUCUACAAAUGAAAAACAUAUAGUAUGAGAAAAUGAAAGCUAUCAUAGUGACAGAAUGUAUCAUGUUCCAAAAUUAAGAUGGUCAAACAUGAGCAAAGCCAUACCUAAAUAUAACCAAUACUCUUGUCUAGUUAGACUAAGUCUAGUUUAAUUUCAUGCCGAGUUUAUUCUCAACUUAAUUUAUGGCAAAUCGGAGCCUAGCUAUUUAUGAACAAUUUAUUAUAUUUUGGAGGAUGAGAAUUUUUUUUUUUAAAUUUUUGAAGUCCAUCUUAUUCUAACCGCACAUGAUCUAAAUUCAAAAUACAUAGAAAAUUCUUUCCAAUAAUUUAUUUAUAUGAAUACCUUGAAUGCAUGCAUUCUUGUCCUUUAUGGCUAAAUUACUUCACUUUGUCUUUCUAAGUAGGUGGGCGAGAGGUCUUGUCUCUUGGGCCACUCACUACAGGCAGAAGAUAGGAAUCCAAGAAAUUAUUUUAUUUAAAUGGGAAUUUUUAAUUAAGAAUAUAAUAAAAUAAUCCCUCCCGUAUUAUUCUUUGGAAAUACCAAGUGGACAAGAAAAGUAUCUGGAUUCUUUGGCCCACUCCCCCUCACCGGGAUCUGAAAGCAUCCUACCAGCACUGCAGCACAAGCAACCUGAUGUAUCGGAAACCCUACCACCGGUCCACCACAAAUAUCCACAUUAUAAAUGUGGGACCCGCUUGCUUUAUAUUUUGUUCGAUCUCCGUUGCAUCCACCCCAUCAAUCUUCAUGUGGGCUAGUUGAUGUGGACCGUCCUAACAUCAGACCCACGCCAUGGCGGCUAGAGGGGAGUUGGCUAGACCAAUUUGUUUAGGUCCAAUUGACUCAAAUAAGUAUGGAUUUGGGGUCAACUUGACCCAUUUUUGCUCUAUUAUUAGGUUGGAUUUUAUCUUUACUGGUGGGGUCUACCACUACUAGUCUAAAGUAUUGCAUUUGCUUUGUAGGGCCAAGUAAGGAUAAUUGGCUUCAAUCUUAAAGGAUUUAGGUCUUUCUUGACUAGAGAAAUGCAUCUAAAACACUAACAAUGGAAGAUUUCUUUUUGUUCCCUUUAAGCAAUUAUGGUCAAAGGUUGAAUGAAUUGCAACGGCAUUUGCUUGAUCAUUCAACCUCUACACCUAACUCAGAUAUAAAUAAUUUGAUCGUGGAUAGAGCAAUAUCAAUUAAAGUGAAAUCAGACCAAGGUAGAUAUGGAAUUCUCUAGAUUUAUGUGUCAAAAUGUGCUAAGAUAGGGAUUUUUUAAGCUAGUUUUCAUCUGAUUAUCCAAGUCAAGGAUUUGUUUAGACAAUCAAAAUCGAACACGACUCUUUAGUUUCGGUUCUGAGUUAUUUUACUCUUAGGAAAUCUGGUCUGUUUAAACCCUAACAUCCUAAAAAUUUUUGAGCACCCAAGUACCAUACCAACUCUUAGCUCCAUCAUGUCGUCAACAUGGAUAGAGAAUAUCUUGGAUUAUGGUACCACAACCCUCAUAGUAGAUGGGUGAAUCAAAUGAAAUGGUUCUGAUAGGCUGAGUGUUUCAUCUGCUAUUUGGCGGACUCCAAACUGGGCCUGCAAAUAUGUUAGUGUGCUGAUACUGAACCAUUGGAAUCUCGAUGGAGCACGCCAUCGCAGGGUACUCGGCCUAAAAAGCAAACGCAAGUUGUCACUGGGGCGUACAUGGAGCCAUACGUCUCGCCCCCUCGAUCACGUGAAGUUGCUAAUAAUGAGAGUGAGAGGUGGACCAAUGGCCCUUUUGGAUGCUUCCCAUGGCUUUGCUCCUUUGAUGAAAUGCUUAUUGGCGCUUCGUGCACUUGACCAUCGCUAGACUUCACUAAAAAUAAAUAUAGUUGAGGAAAAUGAAAGGGUGAUGCAGGUUGGCCACCUUGGCACGCUGUUUUCCUCCAUUGGCUCCCUCUCCCCCUCUUUCUCUGCCUCUCUAGAUGUUGGUAGGUGGCCAUGGUUAGAUGAUUAUUGACAAUGGCAGCUCAAGAAGGGUCUUGGGUUGAGGUGGUCAUUUUAAUAAACAAGGAUUUGAUGGGACCUUAUAUAUUGCUAUAGUGAAUCAUCUGUCAACGCUUCAUCCUCUUUGAAGGAAAAGAUGCAGGUAUUUGUUACAUCACAAAAAAUAUAUGGAGCAUUGAAAUCCAUCUAUCAGGGAGCCAUUUGAAUUUGUAUAGCCAUCUGUAAGGGAUUAUGGCAGAAGGUUGGCGCUAGCCGAUUAGCAUAUAAUUCUUAUGAGAAAAUUAUAUCUAAAAUAUGUGCCGAGUGUUGAUUAUGUUAUUACUUAUCUAUACAUUUCUACAAGGCAUAUGCCUUAUUUUAAUUCGUAUAGACGUUGUGUUUGUCAUGCUUCAUUGAUGAAGUAGUAUUAUAAAACUGACUCAUGGUGGUUAAACUAUAUCAAGUUGACACUGUUUUGUGUCUUACUAUAUCAAUCACGAAGCUUACUGGUGUAUUGUUACUUGCAGCGCUUUGGAGGAAUUAUUGUUGCUCUUAAUUGAUGGCUGCUUUCGUUGCCAAGCCCAUUAAUGGUCUCGGCACCGGAUCCACCUUGCUCAAUGACUAUUAAAUAUAAAAUUAGAAGUGCAUCCUUCUAAAUUUUACGGAGAUGUUUGAUUCGUAAUCAAAAUCAGAAUAGAAAUGAAAAUUAAAAUGAUUUGGAAUCGGAAUCAGAAUGAUCAAAUUCUCCGAAGUAUUUGAUUCGUGAUCGGAAUCAGAAUCGAAAUCAAAAUUAGAAUAGAAAUUUGAAUCUAUAGGAAAGAAUAGGGAUUGAGUUCUAUAUAGAUUGAGUCAUUCCCAUUCUACUCUGAAAUUGCAAUCGGAAUGGGACUCCUCCCAACCAAACGGUUGGAAUGGGAGUCACCCAUUUCGAUUCCAAUUUCAGAUCCCCACUCUUUCCAACUAAACACCCUCGCAUAGUCUCAUGCAAAAAUUAAUUUUGUUAUAAAAUAUGCUUCUCGAAUCUAUUGUACCGUCCAUUUAGGGGGGACCAUUUCUCUCGUAUUUGAGGCCAAGCAAGAGUGAAUGUCAUAACUUUAGCACGAUGACGCUCGUGGCAGCAUAAUAAAAUUGCGUAUAACUUGGGUGCAAUUUGAGUGUAUUGGGUUGGAUUUUUGUUGAACAUAAACCAAUCCAACCAGCAGAAAAACUUAACUCGAGCCCAGCCAACUGACAUGAUAGUGAGGUCAUCUAUCCAAGCCUGAACAUAGAGUGAAUCUAAAAUCUUUAACCCAAGUACAACUUUGUUAAAUCAGGUUGGGUACGUUUUGAAGUUAGCCAUUGGGCUGUGACCUGUGAGCUCCUAGUUCAAAUUAUGUUGCAUUUCAAAGUGCUCUGAUCAAAAAAAUUUUGGUUGGAUUUCCUUAAUCUGAAAUCUUAUUGAUAUUUUUUUUUUGCGUAAGCGGGCGAUCAUACCACUAUGGUAUGAGUACAAUCCAUAAAGUUAGAGAUCAAAAAGAUCCUGUAGGGCCGGCGGGCAUGUCUCAUUCUGUUACUAAGUCCAAUUUCAUACUGAAAAUCCAAGCAUCCUGAUUCACAUCAAUCAAAGUCUCAUCACCAAUCAACUAUUUGACUUGAGUUAGUAUUAUUGGGGCAUAGGUACAAAUCUUCUUUCAGAUGAAGGACCAGCCACGAGAAGUCUGAAUUUGGGAUCUCUGACUCCACGCCCCAUAUUGAGCCCUCAUCAUCCUACUCCAUAAGCAAUCAGACUAGAUAAAGAAUCUAAUAGCAUGCUUGGCGAUCAUGACCUCUCUUCUGACCAAUAGGAACCAAAUCUCAAGGCCCCCAUCCCUCCCAGGUUGGUGGACCACCUCUUAGGACAAUAGAUAGAGCCCACAACCAUCAUGCCUUGAGCCCUAUAAGAAGUCUUAAAAUCGUUGCUUCAACCUCCUAAGAUAGAAACUCGAUACAAUCAUGUUCGUCAAAAAGUACACCAGAUGGAGCUUAGGAUCUAUCUCAUGAGAGUCAUCUUGUCUAUCAUGAAGAGAGUGUUGGCUUGCUAGCCCUUGAGAUGAUCUUAGACCUACUGUUCCAUGACCUGUAGUCAGCCCUUCAAAAUUAUUGUUCAGUAAUAGAAACCCCCAGAUAGGUCAGGGCCCCAGUUUGCUUUUAGAUCCCCAGUCUAUCCCGAAUCACCUAUUUCAUCUGAAUCUUCAUCUUGGGGCUGAAGUUGACCAUGGACUUCUGUAAAUUUAUAAGUUGGCUAGAGAUUCGACAAUAGACCUCAAUAAUAGAUGCAAAGUACAUUAUAUUUUGGACCGAGGCUCCACCAAUAAGAAGACAAUCAUAUACAAAAAAAAAGAUACAAAGAUAGAUGAGCCCUAGGAGAGGGUUAAUAAAAUUCCAGUUCCAAUCUUUGAACCGCCGCUCUCAACUUCCAAGAUAGAGCAUCAGCACACAAAAUGAACAGAUAGGGGGAGAGAGGGCAACCUUAACAAAGCCCAAUGAUCGGGUGAAAGAAUUCAAUCAGGAUACGAUUAAUCAAAAUGACAAAGCUUGAGAUCUUUAUACAGUUUAUGAUCCAAUCGAUCCACCUAUUAUGGAAUCCGAGCUUCUAGUUUUCAAUCUAGUACAACUCAAAUAGGUUUGCAAAUAGCCCACACAAAGUUUGCAUCCCUAAAUUAUUGUCUUGUUCUGGGCUUGGGCGGCCCAUAUGGAUAUGGGCCUAUUUGGUGCAUAAGAUAGCCCGGAUGAAGGAAUUGUGAGCCCACUUUUUGAUCGGAUUAAGCUUGGGUCGAACGCACCGAUUGUCUCCGGGUCUAUGGAGGGUUUAAGGAGGCUUUGCAUCGAAACCGUGCGGAAAAAGGGAGGGAGAGAUAGAGGGGAAAAGCAGAGGGAGAUGCAGCGAUCCGCCGCUCUGCUACUCCUCCGAACUCUGCGAUCGCGAGGGUUCUCCUCGUCGAGCUCCGACAAGAUCGUCGCCGCCGUCCUCUUCGAGCGCCUUCCUGUCGUCAUACCCAAGAUCGAUCCUGUCGUCUACGCCUUCCAAGAAUUCUCGUGAGAUUUCAAUCCCUCCUCAUUUCCUUCCUUUACUUCUUCUCCUUGUUUGAUACCGCAAUAAGAACCCCAAGAUUGCUGAUAAAGUUUAGAUUAAUCGGAAAAGAUGGAGCUCUAAUGUGACUGAAAACAUCUUUUAUCGAACUCCGUCUUCUUGAUAGCAAAAUUACCCUUUUUUUUUUUAACAAAAAACUUUUUUUAAAUAAAUUCUGAUGAGCUUGGACGGGAUGGAUAGGAUCAUGGUGAAAUAAUUUAUGUAGGUUUCGGUGGAGGCAGCAAUACCGGCGUAGGUACCCUGAUGAGGUCUUGGGAAAGGGAGAUGCCAGGUAAAGUUUGCUUCUUUUUCACCCGUGGGUUAGUUUUUUAAUCUUUCUGGGACUAUUGGUUCUCUAUCAACUUCAAUAAUGAUAUUAUAUUUCUUCCUUUAUAAUUUCUAUUAGCUAGCUGAAUGAGGUUAAAUCUUUGUUAUAUGCACGUUAGCUUUGUGAAUCUUUUGGAGGUGAAAGAGAAAGAUUAGAAGCAUAGUUUUUAGAUUUUGAAGUGGAAUGCUUGACAGAUAUGCAUUCAUAUGCCAACAUUAGAUUUUAAGUUACGGUACAUUAGAUUUUAAGUUACGGUGCUGGCAUUUCCUUUUCCUAUUUUUAUUGUGAAUUGUUUGCAGCUGAUAUGAGGAGUAAGAAUCAUCAUCAACAUAAAUUUUAUGCUUCCUAAAUGGAGCAGGUGCCGAGGCUCCUAUUUCCUCACCUAGUUUCUAUCACUAGUUGUCUAUAGUUCCCUCUUGAUCAUUGACCUAUUAUCUCAAUCUGCUACCGCUCCUAAAUGGGCCAUCACUGAAUUAUGCUCAACAUCCAUAGGAGACUUUAAGAGGGUGUUUGGAUGCCUCGCACGUCUAUCCAUGUUAUAUUCUGUACACUGCUGGGCUGUAUAGUUUGCAAACUGCGGUUUAAUUAAAUAAAGGCGGUUGUGGAAGGGAUGUGAUUUGGAUGGAUGUACCAUGUCCCUCCAAUGUAUUAUCAUGUUUCUUGUAUGUAAAAUGAUAUUGUGAGUGAGGACAUUUGGACAAGCAUCCAAACAUCCUCAAAAUUCAACUUGAGUUAAUGCACCUUGUUACUACCAAGCUUCUUCUUUCCUGAUUUCUAGUUUCAUCCCUCUUGAUAGUACUACAAAUUUGCAAGCCAUCAUUCCCUAAAAUGGAAAACUUACUUUUGUGCACUUUGCUGUUGCUUCUUGGUUGCUUCUAGGCUUCCUCAGAAGUAGUUAAUUCUAAUUAUAUCAUUCCCAACAUUUAAAUAAUUUUUGCUCACUUGUCCUCUCAACAACUCUGGUCUUCUUGUAAUGUGAUAUUAUAAUGUCUGAUUAGAUAGCCAAAAAAAAGGGGUUUGAUUCAGUGAUAUUCAAUGAUUAUAGAAAAUUAUGAUCAGCAGGCCCUGCAUAUAUUUUAAAGCUGGUAUACUACUAUGCUUAUAUAUAUAUAUAUAUAUAUAUAUAUAUAUAUAUAUAUAUAUAUACUAUAUAUAUAUAUNNNNNNNNNNNNNNNNNNNNUGAAUUGUGGUAUGAUUUGCUUUCUUGUUUAUGCGUCAUACGUACAUGAAGUAUUGUUUAUGAAUUUUGCAUGCAUAAUCCAUAGGUUGUUGCAUAGAUUUAAUUUUUUUGGGUUUGAAAUCUAUAUAUUGGUUCUCAUAAACAAACAUAAGCAAGCCUUACCAUUGGAUGGGUUGUUGUUGUAGAUGUUACUUCACGUAAGCUUCCUGUAUAAAUCUACACAGUCUGAUUCCUGUCUAAAGCUAGAUAGUGCAAAAUGGAAAGUGCCAAAUAUAUUUUGCCAGAAAAUUGUAAAACCUUUCAAUCUCUUUGUCCUUGUUUUUACAUAGCCUUGCUGUUCUGGAUUAAUGAGUAUGUACUAUUCUGUCUUUUAUUAGACAUAACUAUGAUGGAAUAAGUCCCGAUUUUCUCUUAUCUUCAGAGCUAUAUAUUGCAGUCCUGAUCUGAAGUUAAUAUCAACCAGCAGCUAGAAAUGGCUAUCUUUAGUACGACAUUGGACUUGCUCCAAAAUCAUUUUCAUUUUUCCUCAUCCACUUGCUAAAGUUUUUGAUUCUCUCUGCAUUCAAGUAUUUUUCUUUUUUCUUUUUUUUAGACCAUAUUCUACCAAAAUUGCAUAUAGUCCUAUUAUUGUGGUUUCUAAUCUCUAUAUCAUGAAUGUCUUGAACAUGUAGCAACCAAGUUAGGAUUUAUCUACAUGAUAAGGUUCGUUGUGUUUUUAUGCUAAUGUUUCUUAACCUCUUUUGUAUCCUUAACUUUUCUGAGAGAUCCAGUUUCUUCCUUUAACUAUGGAGUUGACUCUUAUAACCACUUGUAGCUCAAGCAACCAAGUAAUUGACAAGUAGGGUUUUGAAAAUUGAAAUUCACUACCUACUAGAAAACAUUUCAUAGUCUCUGCUAAGCAAUGAAAACAUGGAAGGUUAUAUUUUCUUAGUAACUUCAAGUUAUUGAUAGAUUUCUCUAGUUUCUUCGAUCACAAUAUAGAUUACAGAAAGCCUGGCAUAAAUAGAUGCUUUAUUUUCAACUUCAUGUUUUGUUAUCAUUUACAAGAAUGUUGCCAUGAGGAAGUUGUAAAAAACUAUCAAGCCUCUUAAAUGGUUGGUUCAGGUUCAGCCAUCAUGCUUUGUACAUGUGCUGGAUAGUAUGAAAAUGACAUAUAUUUUGGCAAGGAAAAGUCAAUCGUCUGUGGUUAUAAGGAUUGAUUCUGCCAUAUAGCUGGGCGCACUCAUACGUGCAAAGAGAAUCUACUAGUAUGAUCGAUAUAGGAGGCUAAUGUGCAAAUUGAAGUCUCUUUCUUGUUGUAACCUAAAUAACUACGUUUAUCAUUCCAAAACCUGACAAAAUUUGGCUUGGAAUAAUGAUGUUAAAAUCUCUGAAUAGGACUUCGAGAUCGUCAAGUUCCUAAUGUGCUCUAGACUAAUCAUUUCAUGAAUUUCCUACAAAGAUGGUUUAGUUUAAACAUAGAUAUAAUUAUUUGGUUGCCUUGACUGAUCAUUAUUAGUUUCGUUCUGAUUUCAUGAUAAAAUAAUUUAGUAGUAAGGAAGCAACAAAAGUUUUCAUAUAACUUGCAUGCAAAGUUUGGUUUACCUACUUCCGUUAUCUUAAAUAAAGGAAACUGACUUCUAAGUCAGUUUUAAACACAGGGGAGAUGAAUUUCUUGAAGCAAAGCAUGAUAUAUUUGUUGGAUUGUGUAUCUGCAUACAUAAAUACUUAAGAUGAUAUCUUGCCCAGCAUCUUGUUUAUAUUCAAUAAAUCAUCUGUAGUUUAACAUGGGAAUUGCUUCUAAAUCCUGCAAAUCCCCUUUGCUCCAAAGUGCAACUUUAGUGAUAAGGACUUUGAAAGAAUAAGUGCUUUUGAUAUGAACUAAAAGGUUUGUAAAUAGAUUAUGAGAUGCAUACCGAAAGGUCAGGGCUAACCUAUUAUUAGAGGAAAGCAUGACCAGCACAAGGUGAUAUGUACACUUCCAAGAUUAUUGCCUCAUUAGAUUGCUAAAAUAAACAUAUAAUCAUAUAAACAUAGAAUGAUUAAUAGAGUUUAAAACGUGACUUAAAGACAUUUUAGCUUGGUUUGUCUUCUUAUAUGAAGAUGUGUUUUUGUGGUUGAUCUGGAUAAUAUUUUGGAUGAUUUGAAGAACCUGUGGAGUCCGAUGCAUUCAUAAUAAAUGAUUUUUAAUGAAAGGGGAAGCCCCCCCAGCUAACAAUUUUAGUCAAUGAUAAAUUAAUGCAGAACUGGAUUAUAGUGAAUUUCACAUCAAUAAGAUGGAAGUGCUAGAAAGUAUCUCAUGCUGGACUUAUAGAAUUAUCCAUUCUGAAUUGUAAUAUAAGCAGCACCAUCUACCCUUACCACCAUACAUCCAUGCGUGGUAAAAUUUUAUGUUAGAUAUUGAAUGUGAAAAGAGAAGUGUGCAGGCACAUCCCUUUCCUCAGUGUGCUGUUUCAUGCUUAACAUGUACAGAUGCAUAUUGGUUUCAACUAUCAGAGACCUCGAUAAAAGCCAUUAAGCUUGAAGUUAAGUAAGCAUAAGAUAAACAGAUUUGAACAUAUUGAUGGUUUCCAAACUAGGUAAGAUAGUUGUUCAAAAAAACAAGAAAGAAACGCUUCAGGAAUCAUGGGUGGUUUUUAUAUUGGAUAUGAUGCAUUUCUUGAUCUUAGGAGAAACAUGUAUUCUACUAAUACUGCAUAUGCAAAAAGAAUGUCACUAACUCCAUUACUUAAAUGGUUAAAGCCUCCAAUAAUUGAACAGUAUCAUUCCACUGACUUUUACUUAAAAGAAAAUUUGGUAGGUAAAGUUUGAAUUAACCACUCUAGUUAAAACCACAGGCUUAAUCUACAUGCCUUAUUUUCGUAGUGUUUGUAAUUCAUUUAGCUAAAUAGCCUGCAGUCUGAAUUCCUAGAUGCACUUCUCCUUGGAGAAAUCUUUUGUUGUUACAAGUCCACUGGAGUUGGUUUCAUUGUCAACUGGAGAGGAAAUUUUUUGCAUUAUCCUUAUCAUUGGCAACAAGCCUUAUGCUAUAUAUUUGGCAUAUGGGCUUCUCUAUAAUCCUAUAAAUUUAUUAUUGCAAGCUGUCUGACUACUAGAUAGGUGUAUCUUAACAACAAUGUUGGGAAGACAAUGAUCAUGAUACAUCAAAAUGGAAUUGUGUAGUUAGAUAUUCAAAUUUCACAAUUACAUACUGUACUGUUGUUCUAAAUGUCCUAGUUCUUUGUGAUGUGAUUUCUAGCUCAAUCUUGUGUAACCAUUGAUCAUUUUAUAGGGGAAAAGGUGAGUACCAAAUUGAUUAUGUGCCUGCUCCACGAAUCACAGAAGCUGACAAGACCAAUGAUCGGAGGUGUGUCUUUUUUGUCUGGUGUUGCUUGAGUUAAUGGUUAUCCCCUUUUGUUUUUUUGCAAGGUAUAAUAUAAUAAGAUUGAAGAAAACUGAUAUGUAGUAAAAACAUGAAUUCAUUGUUGUGCAAUGGCACUCUUUUUCUUUUUUAAAAUGAUAUGGGUUCAUAAAUCAAGGAUAUAUAAUUUUUAGUGGUCAUCAGCAGGUUAUUAGGAUAGUCAAAUUUUUCCUUUGCAUUUGGGCUGUUAUCUGUGCCAUAUAUUUAGCUCACAAUCCAUGAUUAUGACCAGUCACAGUUAGGGCUAGUAUGGUUCUUAGACCACCCAAAUAUGGCCUUCCUGCUAUGACAAGACAAAAAGAGGAAUUUUUGUACCUUAUCCUUCCUCCCUCUUCUGUCUGUUCUCAUCUGGUACCGUCCAUUUGUUUCUUUCCCAUGCUUGUUAUCUUCUUUCCUUGUUGUAUUCUUCCCAUUCCAGAGAUUUUAAUGGUCCUUUGUAUAAUCUCUGAACCAACUGUUUUUGAUCUGAUUGUUUGACCCUCAAAUGGAGACCAUGCUCCAACGGUCAUCAUCAUGCAUGAUAUCUGGAUUGCUACAUGGUAUAUAAGCUUUCUUCCAUGGAAACCCACCUACUAAAUUUUCUCAUCUAUUACAUCUUUUGGGGCAUAGAUUGGUAUAAACAUAUAAUCAAACAUAUUUUUCCUUUUUGUUGGGCCUCAUUGUUGAUAUUGUACUGUUGAUAACCUGAUUCUCACGAAAGAAAUGUAUAUGUUAUCUUCAAAGCUUAAUUUAGCAGCUUUAGCUUGAGUAUUUGCACCGCUUACUGUUAAAAAUGAUACUGUCUCUGUAUUGCUUCAACCAAAAUCUGUGCUGCUGGUUGUUUGUGUGUUCGUGAAGAUUGUCUCUUUUCUAAAAGGAUGGUUUAGUUUCUGUACUGUAUCCAUGCCCGAUAGUAUAUUGGAAAGCUAAAAAGGAAGAAGUAUCUAACUUCUAUUUAUUCUGUUGGAGGUGAUGCUGACUACUAAGUCUUAGGGUUCUAGUUAUUCAGAUGCUUAUGUUAUUAGCUGGCUGUUGAGCAAGUGCCAAUACACAUAUAGAUUCAGUGUGAUGUUUCUCUGUGUAUCAAAAGAAAAAAAAUUGAGAGGGUUAAGAAAUUGUAUUUAAUUUGUAAAAUCUGACAGAAUUUGCAAUUCUAUUUAAUGAGAAAAGGAAACUCUACGAGGGUACCUUAAACAGAGGUCUUGAGUCAAAGAUUGAAUGUACAUGAACAAAAAUGUGGGCAACAAAAAUGCCUGUAAUUAUACAAGUUUAACCUUAAAAUAAAAAUAAUAAAAAAAAGAAUGGAAGGAUGUAAUCAUUGACAGGAUUGGGAGGCUAAGAAAGGCAUAAUUGUCAAAUCCAAAGAAAUUGGGAUAUGUUGGUCAUUGUAAUAAUUGCAUAUAUUAUAAAGCAUAAUGAACAUCCCUUCUCUUAUCAUGGUUACAAUCUAUAUGGAUUAUAAGUGGCAAAAUUUUUUUUAUGGGUAUCUUUAUGGUGAAGCUGGAAACACCUGAAAGCUAUCUAACUAGUCUUGCUGGCAUAUUUUAGAUUUUCUCUAUUUGUCUCUCGUACACUGUUAUGCAAAUAGCUGGUUAUUAGUUUUUCUUUUUCCAUUUGCCAACACUAUUUGUUUUCAUGGUUUUUUGUUUGCUGUCUAUAGAUCAUUGCAGAGAGCACUAGAUAGAAGGCUUUAUCUUCUCCUCAAUGGUAGCACAUAUGGGGCUCCUGACAAGAAACCUGUUUGGCAUUUCCCAGAAAAAAUAUAUGAAAAUGAAGAGACUCUGCGACUGGUAUUUCCCUAACAAGUUUUUUCAUUUACAAAUUACAUAUGUCUGAGGUUAUGAUUCCACACCCUUCUUUUGAAGAAGUCCGUGCUUGUGAUGUCUAUGCGAAAUCCUUCAUUUCAGUGUGCAGAAUCAGCAUUGAGGUCUGUACUUGGAGGACUUCAGCAUACAUAUUUUGUUGGCAACGCUCCCAUGGCCCACAUGACUGUAGAACCAAAAGAACACUCAUCAGAUACUCCAUCCUUUGAGGUACCAGUCUUCAUAUUUUCGUUCUAGUACCCUUUUAUACAUCUAUAGCAUGUUUUGCUUUUAACAGGCUGAAAGUUGUAAUUAGUAAGAGUGCUGACUUGUUGACCCGACAAUCUUCUCCAUUAGAACUUUUGAGGAAAUUUGUGAAGGCAACCUACCUUUAUUCAAAUAUUAACUAUGAUUUGCUUUGUCACAUAUUUAGAUUUUUCGGGAGACCAAAACCUAUAAUUUGGCCCUUGCCGCUUAAGGGCAGAAGGGAGAUCUUGGAGGUCCACCAGCCCAACCUGUUAGGGAGAGAGGCAAGACAUCUUCAUGGAUGAAUGGAAGAAAGAGAGAAAUAAGUGGGACAAGGCAUCUGUGUGGCUAGAGAGAGAGAGAGAGAGAGAGAGAGAGAGAGGUAGGUANNNNNNNNNNNNNNNNNNNNAGAGAGAGAGAGAGAGAGAGAAGAGAGAGAGAGAGAGGGUAGUGUAUAAAAAACAGAAAACUGAAGAUUUUUCUGUUUUUUCUAAUUUCAUAAAAUACUUAAAUAAUAUGAAGUGGCACUAAAGCUAAUCCUUUUAACAAAUAUGUUAGUGUAUUCUCAUUUGAGUCCAAUUUUGAGGAAGAAUGAUAUUUAGGUUGUCUUUUUAGAAGUAAAAAGUAGGUAGUUUUUAAGUCUGAUAGAGUAAAUAGUAAAGUAACAUGAUAUGUGGUGGUUUUCUUAUCUUGUCGGG